GACGGACCAAGCUCGCCGGCGUCCCUUCCCUUCAUUGCACAUUCGUGGGUCGCGGAACUGAAGACCAAUGGCAUGCUGUCGUCAAUCAAUCAAUCAACCAUCCCAUCAUCAAGCCGUAAACAGGAGAUGUACUACGAAAGAUCGAGUUAGUUGUAUUGUAGUACUACAUGGAGGUCAUUGAAAGCCCGCCGAGGCCACGGGCCCCAUAUGUCUGCGGCAUUUGCCUUAGCUCUGUAGCCUAGCUAGGUUCGUUCAUCAUCAGUGAAGUGUACAUACGUGGUGCCCUGCAAUAAAAUCUCACUCACACGGCUGAUAUUUGUUUGUUCUCUCUUUUCACUGCAUGAGAAAAGUGUUUCUACGGGGAGUUGAGUUUGUGGCGUGCAGAGUGCGGGCGUGACCUCUGAGGCCGACCGAUUGACGGAUUUGGCUUCCCGUGACAGCAUCAUGCGGGGGUGGCGGGGUCGGAUCCGGUGAAGAACAGACCGAGGGUUGGGUUCCGUGCAUGCAUAUGUAGUACUUACUAUGUAUGCCGUCACCGGUCGCUGUCUCCUGGCCCUCUGCCGCGAUCAUCGAUCCGCCUCCGCCUCCCCCUCCGCCGAAAACCGCGGGCGCUCGCGUCGCGUCGCGUGGUGGCGUGGCGGUCUCGCGCGCCUCCCGCCGCGGGUUGCGUUGGAGUAAAGUCUAUUUUAAACCUUGAAUUCGUAUGGCUCGUCAGAAUCAAACCUCGAACUCUAAAUCCCUGAAAUCGACACCCUAUACUUUCUAAUCCUGGUCAAUCCUGACCUUAGAUCUGUUUGGCUACCAGAAAAGGUACGAUCCUGACCGGGUUCACUGGCUACUCUGACUAACGUUGUGAGCUUUGUCACAUGGCAUAAAUUGAUCUCAUUUGCAUAAAAAUGAAUUACUAAGCAUGAGAGAUGAUACCACAACCAAAACGAGUGUUUCUGCAAAAUUAUCAAUAUUGCAUAUAAGAGCACAUUGAGGAACUGGUAUGCAAUAAACUGCUUAAUUGGCAUAUUUGGGAUAAGUGAACCAUGAGCAUGGUUUUAAAGAUCCCCAUGAUAUGCUCCUUCUCAAAUUGCUCAUAGAUGCAAAAGGGAGGUUUAAGAUUUUGCAAGAAACACAAACUCAACAAGUACUAAUCAUGCCAUGAUGCAACAUACACAAUGUUGACUCUAAUUUAAAUAAAUGCAUGAAGUGAGUACUUGUUACCGAGAGAGCAUUGGUUCAAGGGGCCAUUGAUCUAGUAUGCGAGCAUGAGGGACUUGAUCUUGUUCUUGGAUAGGUACAUGAUCUCCCAUAGCAUCUUGCUCUGGUGUUGGGGGUGAUGACUUCCCUUGUGGUGGAUCCACAAGAGGGGCUCUUACUCCUUCUUCUUCUACAUGGACAUGGGGUGUUUCUUGUGAAAGAAUAUGAUCGAUCCCCAUUGUACUUGUAGCUUGGGAAGGAGCCUCAUCACCUACAACACUUGAAACAAAUUGCUCCGCAUGGAAGCCGUUAUUCUCAUCACACUCCACAUUCACCGUUUCCUCAAUACAUCCCGUGGAUUUAUUGAGAAUACGGUAAGUGUGGGAGUCUGAUGCAUAUCCAAAAUAUUGACACAAAUUUUAGUUAACCGGGUUUUCAUGAUGAGAAUGAAACACUUACAACCGACCCGGGUUUUCAAUUAUCUUCUCCCUCAAAUCACAUAAUCAACCAAGCUUGGCUCUAGUAAUUUUCCACGGUGUCUCCACCUUCCUCAUGAAUAAGCCAAGCAUCCAAUGCUUCUCCAAAGUACCUAAAACACAUUAAGGUACAAUUUGGUCCCCAAACUUGUUGGGUCCGAAGUAGUUAGACCAACUACAAUACAUAGGACAAACUCCACACUAAAUAUGUGCAUAUGGAUAUGAACUCGAAAUUCAAGCACAUUUUUAACCAUUACGGAUAUGAUGGAGUUUACCAUAUAGAGACUAUCAAGUAGAGCAAGCAAGGCAUGAAGAAUUAUAUAAAUAAAUAUACAUGCACAAGCCUACCAAGAUCCAAACAGAUACAAUUUGGACAAAAGAACACAUACACGAUGAAUGCACCUCUAAUAUCACAAAGCAUUCAAGUUGUUCAAAUUAUAUCAAAGUGACGAAUCCACACAAGACCGCACACUAAGAACAACAUAUGAACUAAGCAAAAAACCAAUGAGCAUAGGAUAUACACUACACACAUACUCAAAGGUUUAUCUCACUCAAGUAGAUCAUAGAUAGUGCAAGUAGUGAGAUAAGGCAAGUUGAAGCACGAGCCGAGAAGAAGAUGAUCAUAUAGUUCUACCACAUGAAGAAAUACCAAUUGUAAGAGAAUAACAAUGGUAUUUGGACUUAACACUCAGUGGUAGAUUUCGAAGAUGCACAAGAUCAAAAUCAUAUACCAAAGUAUAAGAAGAGAGAAUCAUAGUGUUAUUGGCUGGGUGGGCAUUUCUGCCCGUUGGACCCCGUGCGCAUGAGCUAAGUCAGCCCCGUGCGCACGGGGUACUCAGAGACUGAAACCCCACCCCGUGCGCAUGGGGGUCAACAGACCCCAUGCGCACGGGGUGUCCAUAGAGUUACGCGGCACCCUGUGUGCAUGAGGGUCAAAGACCCUGUGCGCACGAGGUGUCCAAAGGAUUCUGUGAAACUCUAAGGACACCUCGGCGACGCACACUACAAAGGAAAAAUAAGCACCAACAAGAGAUAAUUAAUGGAUACUUUGAGAAUUUGAAUUUCAAAUGAGCUUGACGUACCACAUAGUGACUAGAUAAUAUUCAAUAUCAAUACUAGGUGGUAUUUCUCAUAUUCACAUUUGGGGUUUGUGAUGUGCACAAAACAUAACACUCCCCCAUAAUGUGAUGAUACACUAAUAUCUCACAAAAGGCAAGCAAGAUUCAAAUAUGAUACAAUAAGGCUCAAGCCUACAAACACCACUAUAUGAUGUGCAAAGCAACCUACACAUGCUAGAUACAAAACCUAAACAUGCAAGGGGCGAGUAACUUUCAAUGUAAGCAAUAUAAAUACAUGUUACCGCAAAGAGGAACAUUGGAUAGAUAAUAUGAAGAUAAUCCACAUGACUUGGCUCGAACAAAUAAAUGGUGGAGAUCCUUUUCUUCAUGAACUAGCCAAAUCUCCAAUGUCCUCCACACACCUAUUGAUCAAGUUUGAGCUUGAUGGUCCCCAACCAAGUUGGGUCCUAAGAAGUUAGUCACAAUAGGCUUGGCAACCCAAAUGGUCUUUUCCAUUUCCAAACCACUUUGGGCACCAACAAACUUGGCAACCAAAUUGCCAACAACAUCCUUCCUAAGCGAAUAAUGAUCAUUGACUAGAGGAGGCUUAGGGAUGUUACCGUUAGGACAUGAUGAGGAUAUGUGUCCCUUCUCACGACAAAUAUAGCAACAUGUGCUCCCCCUUCUCUUCUUCUUUAUUUCAUCAACUUGGGGAGCAUUACCUUUGUUCAUCAUUGGCAGUGGCCUUUCUUCAACAUGAGGUUGACCUUGAGAUUGAACUUGAGGACACUUCCCUUGAUGCUUCACAUUUGAAGCCUUCUUCUUCAAUGGACAAGAUCUCACAUGGUGUCCAACAGUCUUGCACUUGAAGCAUGUAAUGUUGGCCGGAUUCUUGACUUGAUCUUGUCCCUUCUUCUUUUUCUUGGGCUUCUUAUUGUUGGGGAUGAAACCAAGUCUGCCCUUGUCAUGGGGGGAUUUUUGAACACUCAAGAUAGCGUUGAGAGAGGUAUUUCCUUCAUGACAUAUUUCCAAGUCUUUCUUCAAAUUAGUGACUUGGGACUUGAGCUCUUCGUUUUCCUCUACAAGGUUAGUAUCAACAAAAGUACUGGAGGAAGUAGAAGCUUCAUUGUUAGAGCAACAAUGCAAGGGGAGCAAUUCAUCACAAGAAUUGGCAAUAAUAUGUCUAGAUGAACCACUAGGACUAGCACAUGUCAAUAAAGCAUUUUGAGUAGAAAUAGUGCUCAUGUCCACAUGAGGCUCACGAGAUGUUACCUUAGUCAGAAUAGCCUCAUGAGCUAACUUUAGCCUUUCAUGGGAGAUUAGAAGAUCAUCAUGAAAGCCUGAGAGCUUUUCAUGACUUUAUUCUAAUUUCCCAUAAUUGUUAGUUAGCAAAACAAGUUGAGCCCUUAGCUCAACACUCUCCUUCAAGAUUGAUGCUUCACAAGGAGUGGAGUUAGUAGCACAAGCAUCAUUGACAAUAUGAAAGGAGCUAGAAGAAACUAGAGACUUCACAUGAGUAGCUUGAAGUUCCUCAUAAGACUUAGAGAGUUUGGUGAGCUCUCCUUUGACACUCUUGUAGACAAGGUCAAGGUGCUCAAAAUCCUCUUUAAGUUGAUCAUGAGCAACUUCAAUCUCUUCUUUAGAAGAUUCUAAGUCUCUAAGAGUUUCUAGAGCAUGAAGAGGGUUAUAAUCAAGUUUUUCAUUUUGUUCUUGCUCUUCGUGAAGUAAAUCAUUACACUUUCCAAAAUGAGUGAUAAGAUCUUUAAACAUCUCAUAAGUUUUCUUAUUUACCCCACGAAGAGAAUUACCAAUCUCAUAUAUCUCUUGACUCAUAUCCCUAUCACAUUCACCAUCACUCUCAUCAAUAUCAUUACAAAGAGUAUAUGAUGCCUCGGUAUUACCUCUUGCCAUGAGGCACAUGUGAAUAUCGGAGGUUGAUGAUGAUUCUUUUGGAGAGGGAGUUUCUUUAUCAUCAAGAGUAGGAUAUCCAUGUCCAUCCUUUUGACACUCAUAGCAUUUCCUCUCCAACGAGGUGAUGUCCUUCUUUGCUCCUCUAGCAGUUUCCUCUUUAAUGAUGUGUGCACUAUUUUCUCUUGUUUCCUCUACAUGGUUAGUCAAACAACAACUGGAGGAAAUAGAAGCAUAGAGAUCAUGGAAACAAGGAGUAUCAAGCAUAUCAUCACAAAAGGUAUUCGAGGAAUCUCCAAAUGAUAUGGAUGGACUAUCAACACAAGAAUGUAGGUCAUUUUUGCUAGAUAUGCUCAAGUCCAUAGAAUCUACAACACUAGCAUGUAUACAUGAAAGAUAAUCAAUGUUUAGCACAACAUCAUCAUCACAAAUGAUAUUUCCACUCACCAUGUCAUUACCUUGGGACAUGCCAUAUGACGGUGAGGUGGAAGAAGUAGAAAUGUCCAAGUACAUGGAUGAAGAAGCAUUAUGGAGUUCUUCAUGAUUCGAAGAUGUGGAGAACUCAUCAAUUGACUCCUCCGACAUAUGAUGAAUAUCAACAAGAUUGGACCCACCAUAUAUUUGUUCAAGUUUGGUCCACAUAUCAUGAGCUGUCACACAAGUCAUGAUAGACUCAAAUACUUCGAGGGAUAUAAACUGGAUUAUGGCAUUCUUAGCACUAUAUCUACAAAGCAUAUCAUCAUUUUCCUCACUAGUUGGAAAAAGGUUGUCCUUCCACGGUGAAGUCCCUACAAGAACAAUUCGCACAAAACUUGGACCCAUGGUCCGAAAAUGACAAAGCAUGCGAAUUUUCCACAAGUGAUAGUUUGUGCCACUAAAACAAAAAGUGUCAUCAUGCACUAUACCGCUAGUCGACAUCUUUACUCUCUAGGCGGUGAAGCCUACCAAGGAGAGACCAAAGCUCUGAUACCAAUUGAAAUGAUCUAGAUGACGACUAGAGGGGGGUGAAUAGGAGUUUUAAAACUUUUACGGAUUUGGCUUUAUCCUAAUGCGGAAUUAAACUAAUGCAUACUUUUCAAGCACAAAUCCUAAAGGGAUUUUUAUUUCUGUGCUCCUGGUUCCUUAGCUCUACUCAUUCAUCCCCACUCUGUUAACUGUUGCCCACUUUUCCCCACUCCCUUGCCCGAAACCCUCAUAACUGGUUAUAACGGACGUUGCCAUUGGGUCAAUGCCUUUGACCGUUAGCUGACGAGUGGGGCCGCGUAUACGUGGGCGCAUGCAAGACCGCGGUCGUGGGGUAGCAUGUGUCCAUGGACAUGCCCAAACGUCCCAUCAUAUAAAGAGGGCAACCACCUCCAUCGCCCCUACCAUUUUCCCCCAAAUCCCCUCGCUGUCGCAUCGUCUUCCUCCCCACGCAGUCGUCUUCUCGCUCUCCUCCACUGCCUCCACUGCACCGUCUCGCCCUCCCCCACCGCAUCGUCUUCCUCACCUUCAUCGCCUGCAUCUGUCAGAUGGCCGAUGCUCGUGGCGACGCCAGCGCAGCGGCCGGAGAUGUGGUGGAGCUGCAGGGUCAGGGCGCGGUGACCGCGGAUGUCGGCGGCGUCCACGAUGGUGCGGGGAAACUCGCAAUCGCUACGGAUGUGGCGGGCUCCGCCUCAUCGCAGCAGAAGGUGAUGGCGUCGAGCGGCGCAGUCCAUCCCGAUGCCCCCGUUGCGCCGCCUGCCGUGGAGGAGGAGGUAUUUGCACUUGCUUAGCUUGUAGAGUUAGUUCGAUUGUGAUUCAUACAUUAGUUCAGAUGCUUAAAGUAGUUGGUUUGACGGAUGGGCCGGGUUUUUUUGUACGUGUAUGGGUUCGGGGGAUGGGGUUUUUGGACUAGGGUUUGUUGGAUAAAUUGGUUGCAAAAAUGCUAGCUAGAUGUUGUGAACUAUGAUUUUAGGUGCUGCAAUGAUUGGUGUUUUUAGAUUUGUUUUUAGAUUUGGAUAAAUUCGUUGCAAAAAUGCUAGAUGUUGUGAACAGAUUGGGGUUUUUAAUGCUAUGAUGCUUAUUACAUUUGUUUUUAGUGCUCACAGAUUGGGGUUUUUAAUGCUACUCAGAUUCGUUGCCUUAGAUUGGGUCCCUGUUAGAUUUGUUUUUGAAUGCUACUCAGAUUGGGGUUUUGAAUCUCAUAUGCCCAAAUGGAAUCCAUUGAUUAAGAAGUUAUUUGAUUCAUUAGUAUAUAAAUUAUAUGUAGUUAUAUUAGUUCUGUUCUUCAAUGUGUGUGCAUGACCAAUGAUCAAUGUGUUAUGUCGGGUGGUUGGUGCGACAUAUGCCAAGGGAUGGCUUAUCAUUGUGGGAGCCAAUAAAGCGUCGCCGGUGCCUGGAAACGGGAUGAGGCGAAGACAUGCACGCCGGCGGAUCUUACCCAGGUUCGGGGCUCUCCGAGGAGAUAACACCCCUAGUCCUGCUCUGCGGGGUCUCCGCAUGAUCACUAGAUCGAUGAAAGGUAGCUACAAUCGCUCCUAGAGCUGUGGAGAUCAAGGGAGAAGAAGAACAAGGCUAGCUCUUGCUUCUCUCUAUUUAUGGUGUGUGUGUUAUGCUAAGAAGGCAACUCUAUGCUUAGAGGCCAACUAUGCUUAGGUGCGGACCCUUUGCAUGGGUGCUCCGGGGGGUUUAUAUAGGCCUACCCCCCGGGGGUACAAUGGUAAUCCGGCAGGGCUCUGGCCCCAGCCAUCAGUGUCUACGCUCGCCGGCUUCUCCGCCGGCUGGUGGGUCCCGCCGGCUGCCGGUUACUCGGUCGACAGGCCGGCCCCACCGCAUAGGGUCUUGUCGGCGGCUGCUUACUGUAGCCUCGCCUGUGAUGACGAGGGCUUUGUCGAGGUAAGCGUGGCUACAGUGGGCCGCCUCGGGGGCUAUCACUGUAGCCUUACCUCGUCUUGUCUCCUUAAUGGGGCUCCUGCUUCGAGGAAGGGAGUAGCCGGCUUCUGGAGGCCGGCUAUGCUCUUGGCCGACUGGGAAAGGCCGGGCCGCCUUCACGCCUCUCUCUGGCUGAAGGGGCCCGCCGCCCGCGGGCCGUACGGGAGUCGGUCGUGGGUGACGUCGAGGCCAACAUGGCUACAGUGCCGAGCCGCACGGGAGACGUCCGUCCCGUACGGCCUCCUGUAGCCACGCCCGCCUCGGGCUUCGGGGGUAGUGGGCCGCACUGUGGCCACACCCCGUCACGUCGCCGUUAUGUGGGAGUGGUUUGGAGUGGUUGUGGUCUUGGCCGGCUCCUAGGAGUCGGCGUCCUUCUUGGCCGGCUUCUUGGAGUCGGCCACCCCGUAGUCGUCCUGGGGAGGAGUUGGUGAGGCUGGGUCGCCUUCCGGGAGUCGGCUUUAGUGGUAGCCGGCCAGGGAAGGCGGCCCAAUGCUCGGAGUGCUUGGAGGCCCGAAGGCCUGAUAAUUUUUUCAGAAGAACCAGGGGCAGUCGGUUAGGCUACCCGUGGCCAUUUACUCCGACAGUAGUCCCCGAAGCUGAUUGGGCUUCGAGGUGGAGUGGGGUUUGAGAAGCUCGAUCAGCUUCCUAUCAUGACAAGCCGGCAGCUGGGAGCCGGCCUUGGUCAGGCGCGCCGCCUGAGUCGAAAUCUUCUGGAGUCGAAGGGCGGGAACCCGCUGGCACGUGCACCGGGCCGCGGGCCGGCCACGGGCCGUCGGCGAGCCACGUGGCCGGAAAGCCUGCCAGCCCACGCGCGUGACGGGACGUCGCCGCAGGGAGGGGGCCCGCCACGUCCGCGCCCCGGCCCAGGCGCGGAUCCUUUGUAUCCCGAAACCGCCCGCCCGUUCCGUGCGACAGUUUCGGCUCGCAUUUACGCGCAAUAAUCGCGAGACGUGGGGGGAGUGGGCGGAGUUAAUCCCACGUCUCCCCCACGUCCGGCCUCUUCGGCCUCGUGAGGCUAUAAGUAGGGGGAGGUGGAGGGCGGCAGGCCCUCGCACGCUCCUCCUACUUCCACCGUCUUCUUCGCUCGCCCGUUCUCGCGACAGCGCCUCGCCGCCGCGCACUUGCACCGCCCGCUCCUCCGCCGCCGUGCAAGCUCUCGCCAUGCCUCCCACCGUAGAGCAGCUUGGCAGGGAUUGGGACGGCUCCAACGUCCAUGACGACCACGUCGACUUCCUCCGCGACACACGGCGGCUGCCCACCGCGGACAAAGUGGAGGUCCACCUUGCGCCGGCGAAGGAAAUCAGGCCGGAGCCGCGGGAGGGCGAGCGGGUGGUCUUCCGCUCGCACUUCCUGCGCGGCUUCGGCCUGCCAGUGAGCGCCUUCUUCCGCUCCUGGCUGGAAUUCUAUCAGCUCCAGCCGCACCAUCUCACCCCCAACGCGGUGGUGCUGCUGUCUGCCUUCGUCACCCUGUGCGAGGGCUAUCUCGGCGUCCUCCCCACCCUUGAGCUCUGGGGGGAGCUCUUCCAGUCGAAGCUGGGCACGCGCAGCAAGGGCGUGCCGGCUCAUACUGGCGCCUUCAUCGCGUCGCGGAGGUCGGGCGCCAACAACCCCUUCCCCGUCAUCACGCUGAUCCAAUCGGUGAAGAAGUGGCAGAAGUCGUACUUCUACGUGCGGAACAUCACUCCACGGGGCGACUACAUCAACCUGCCGGCUUACGUAGCCGGCCCACCGGCGGGGAGGCUGCCCCAGUGGUCCUUCCGGGCGGUGACGCUGUCGCAGGCUGGAAACGCCGCCAUCGCCCGACUGCGGGUGAUGGUCCAGUCGGAGGGCCUAACGGGGCCCGAUCUUCUGGCUGCGUUCGUCACGCGCCGGGUUCUUCCGCUCCAGAGCCGGCCUCAUUCGAUCUGUCAGAUGAGCGGCCAGCUCGAUCCGAGCCGCAUGUGCACCAAGGAGAUGCCGCGCCAUGAGGUCGCCUACAUGGUGAAUUACCUCGCAAACUGCCAACUCACUGAAGAGUGGCAGUUCGGCAAGGAACCGUAUAGCCGAGCCAAUCCUCCGCCUACGGUACGCUCCCCUUGUCUCUUUCUCUCUCUCUCUCUCUCAGCCUUGUUGCCGAGCAUCUCUUGGCCGACUUUGACUUAGUCGGCUUGUUCUUCGACAGAGCCCUCUGCUUCGGCCGGCCAACGGGUCAGACGCGGAGCGCCGCUUCGUCCCCGACUGGACCGAACACGACCUGGAGGACCCCGACCUGGGGGCGGUCCAUAUGGACGACGCCGUCGAGCCGGGCGGUGGCCCAGCCGGCGGCGAAGCAGGCGGCUCCGGGUUCACUUCUACCUUCGACGACUGGCCGGACGAGGAUGAAGCCGAAGCCGUCCCGCGCCGCCAGCCGGCAUCUGGACGCGGCGCGGGCUCCUCCGCCGCGCAGCCUGCUCGGGGUGGAGGGCUGAAGCGUCGCGCCGCCCAGGGUCUAUUCGGCAGCCGAACGAAGAAGCCCAGGGGCGGGGUGGCAGCCACCAGGCGGGAAGAGGCGGCCGCGAAGGCGGCUCGUUUUCGCAAAGUGGUGAAGCAACCGCAGACCGUGUCGGCGUAAGUUCUCUUUCUCUAUGUACUCUCUUUCUUUCUUUUCUUUGGUGGUUCUUGAACCUUUGUCUUCUUCUUCAACGAUCAGAGCUCCGUUGUCACUUGAGCGGGCGGCUGCCGGCUCCGUCGUCGAGUCGCCAAGGGGCUCUGGGAGCACCACCCGCCGCGUGGACCCCCGCGCCGACCUCCAGGAAUCGACAGAAAGGAACGCGCGGGAGGCGCGGGAGGAGCAGGAGGCACGGGAGGCGGAGGCACGGAGGGCAGCCGCCGCCCAGGCGGCUCGGGAGGAGGAGGCGGCGAAGGCACUCGCCGAGGCCGCAGCCAGGGCCCAGGCAGAGGCUGAGGCCGCGGCGGCGGCAGGGGAGGUUUUGAUGGUCACCCCCCUGCGCACCAUGGCGCCUGGGGAGACGGAGCCCUCGCCAGGGGGAGCCAGCGGCGACCAGCCAGGGCUAGGGGGAAGCGGCGACGACGUCAUCAUCUUGGAGAAGGCGCCGGAGCCAACCCCUCCGACUAGGGCGGCCCAAGGCGGCCAGCCUGAGCCUGUGCCCGCACAGUCGGCGGAGGGCGAGCCGGCUGCGAGGGCUGAGGUGGCGGUCCGGAUUCCGCCAAGCCGGCAUGCGGGGAAGGCCGUGUCGGAGCCGCAGAAGGCUGCGUCGGAGCCACAGCCGGCCGUGGGCUCCGGCUCGUCGGCCCAAGAUGCGAAGGCGGCCAACGCUACCUCGGGGUGGACACCAGGCGGAGGGACGGCCGUGGUGAACGUGGCUGCACAAGACGUCCGGACCCGGCUCCAAGGCCAGGCUGCGGCGCUAAGGCAGUUCACCGACGAGUUCCUGGCAAUGCGGGCGGCCAUCCGGGUUAGGAUUCCCAUCUUGUUCUUUCUUGAUCUUGAUUUCUCUUCUUGAUCUUGAUUUCUCUCGUGGGGGCGCGUCAGCACACCCACUGGGUGUAGUCCCCGAGUUCUGAGUCGGCUGCUGAGCAGGCGGCUUGGAACUUCUUGGAGGUUUUGUCUUUGCUGUUUUUGUUCUCACUUCGGUCUUCUGUCCGUCUUGCAGGACUACCACAACCUCCGAGCGGCCGCCUUCAACUCCCAGGCUCGGGAGCUGACUCAGAAGACCGCCGACCUUACUAAGAGCCGAGGUAUGUGACUUGAUCUUUGUCUCAUGUGGGGGCGCGUCAGCGCACCCACUGGGUGUAGUCCCCGAGAUUCGGGCCGACUGCUGAGCAGUCGCGUCGGAUCUUCCAUGACGAUUUCUUACUGUUUUUCCUCUUCUGCCAUCUCUGCAGCGGCCAACGCCAGUCUGAGGGCGCAGCUGGGGGAGUCCCAGUGCCAGUUCCUGUUUCUUGCAUGUUUUUUGUUUCGCGGAAAAUCCAUAGUAAACAGAGUCCAAACGGGAUAAAAACUGACGGAGAUUUUUUCUGGAAUAUAUGUGAUUUUUGGGAUGAAGAAUCAACGCUGAAAGGCAGGGGGCGCGCCUGAGGGGGUCAGGCGCGCCCUGGGCCCUCGUGGCCACCCCGUAAGGCAGUUGGUGCCCUUCUUUCGCCGCUAUAAAGCUAAUAUCCGGAUAGAGAUCGUGUCCAAAAUUCAGCCCUAUCGGAGUUACGGAUCUCCGGGAAUUUAAGAAACGGUGAAAGGGCAGAAUCAGGGAACGCAGAAACAGAGAGAGACAGAGAGACAGAUCCAAUCUCGGAGGGGCUCUCGCCCCUCCCAUGCUAUGUAUACCAUGGACCAGAGGGGAAACCCUUCUCCCAUCUAGGGAGAAGGUCAAGGAAGAAGAAGAAGGAGGGGGGCUCUCUCCCCCUCGCUUUCGGUGGCGCCGGAGUGCCGCCGGGGCCAUCAUCGUCACCGCAAUCUACACCAACAACUUCACCGCCGUCAUCACCAACUCUUCCCCCCUCUAUGCAGCAGUGUAACCCCGCUUUUACCCGCUGUAAUCUCUACUUAAACAUGGUGCUCAACGUUAUAUAUUAUUUCCCAAUGAUGUAUGGCUAUCCUAUGAUGUUUGAGUAGAUCCGUUUUGUCCUAUGGGUUAAUUGAUGAUCGUGAUUGGUUUGAGUUGCAUGUUAUAUUAUUGGUGCUGUUCUAUAGUGCUCUCUGUGUCGCGCAAGCGUGAGGGAUCCCCGUUGUAGGGUUUGCAAUAUGUUCAUGAUUUGCUUAUGGUGGGUGGCGUGAGUGACAGAAGCACAGACCCAAGUAAGUAGGUUGUUUGCGUAUGGGAGUAAAGAGGACUUGAUGCCUUAUAAUGCUAUGGUUGGGUUUUACCUUAAUGAUCUUUAGUAGUUAUGUAUGCUUGCUAGACUUCCAAUCAUAAGUGCAUAUGAUCCAAUAAGAGAAAGUAUGUUAGCUUAUGCCUCUCCCUCAUAUAAAAUUGCAAUAAUGAUUACCGAUCUAGUUAUCGAUUGCCUAGGGACAAAUAACUUUCUCGUGACAAAAAGCUCUUUACUAAAACUAAUUUAGUUGUGUAUUUAUCUAAACAGCCCCUGCUUUUUAUUUACGCGAUCUUUAUAUUCUUGCAAACCUAUCCAAAAACACCUACAAAGUACUUCUAGUUUCAUACUUUUUCUAGGUAAAGCGAACGUUAAGCGUGCGUAGAGUUGUAUCGGUUGUCGAUAGAACUUGAGGAAAUAUUUGUUCUAACUUUAGCUCCUCGUUGGGUUCGACACUCUUACUUAUCGAAAGAGGCUACAAUUGAUCCCCUAUACUUGUGGGUUAUCACGACCUUUUUCUGGCGCCGUUGCCGGGGAGCAAUAGCGUGGGGUGAAUAUUCUCGUGUGUGCUUGUUUGCUUUAUCACUGAGUAAUUUUUAUUUGCUGUUCUAAGUUGUUCUCUAUCUUUAGUCAAGGAUAUGGAACACGAAAUACCAAAAAAAUUAGGUUUACUUGCUAUUCAUGGAGAUGGGGAACCUCCUAAAACCCUCGAUGCUCAUUAUGUGAAAGAUAUUAUGUACUACUUUGAUAAUCCUGAGAAAACCCCAUUCAAUUUUGUAAUGGGAGACACGUUGGAUCAACGUGAAUACUUUAGGGAUUAUCGCUUGACUCAAAAAGGGAAAAUAUUAUGGGAUCAAAUUUAUAUGUUGUAUUGGUAUGUUAGGCAACUAUGCUUGAGAUAUGAUUAUACUUGUUGCUCUAGGAUGAAGGCUCCACACCUUCCCUUUUCAUGCAAAUUUAAUGAUAAUGAAACCUUGGCUUCUUAUGCUAGAGGUAUAUAUGAUUACUAUGAUGUGGAACCAAUAGAAGAAUUUGUUGCUUUUAAGGGUGCAUGUGAAAUUGAAUCUUUGUUUAAAGAGUUUGAAGAUUUUGAUGAUUCAGUUUAUAGACCUGAAAUUUUAGCUAUCCUUAAAUAUUGCUAUGAGAAUUAUAAAUACAAUUAUGAUAUUGAUGAAUUUAUUGAGAAAGUCUCCGCUGUCCACGAAGAGACUAAUAUUUUGCAGGAGUCUAUGGAAGAAGAAAUUAAUGACAUUGUGAGCUCAUUGGAUGAAAAAGAUGAUGAGGAGAGCGAAGAACAAAAGGAGGAAGAACGGAUUAGCUACCCCUGCCCACCUUCUAAUGAGAGUAACUCUUCAACUGAUACAUUGUUUAAUUUCCCUUCGUGCUUACCGAAGGAUGAUUGCUAUGAUGACUGUUAUGAUCCCGUUGAUUCUUUUGAAAUAUCCCUUUUUGAUGAUGCUUGCUAUGCUUGUGGCCAAGAUGCCAAUAUUAAUUAUGCUUAUGGAGAUGUACUUGCUAUAGUUCCUUAUGUUAAACAUGAAAUUGUUGCUAUUGCACCCACGCAUGAUAGUCCUAUUAUCUUUUUGAAUUCUCCAAACUACACUAUAUCGGAGAAGUUUGCCCUUAUUAAGGAUUAUAUUGAUGGGUUGCGUUUUACUACUACAUAUGAUGAUUUUGAUAGAUAUAAUAUGCAUGUGCUUGCUGCCCCUACUUGCAAUUAUUAUGAGAGAGGAACUAUAUCUCCACCUCUCUAUGUUUCCCACACAAUAAAAUUGCAAGAAACUGUUUAUACUAUGCAUUGGCCUUUACUUUGUGUGCAUGAAUUGUUCUUUUAUGACAUGCCGAUGCAUAGGAAGAGAGUUAGACUUCGUCAUUACAUGAUAUAUGUUACUUUGUGCUCACUACUAAAUUAUAAAUCAUUGUUAAAUAAAAUGGCUUUGAUAUACCUUGGGAUCCGCGUGGAUCCAUUACUUGAGCACUAUAUGCCUAGCUUAAUGGCUUUAAAGAAAGCGCUGCCAGGGAGACAACCCGGAAGUUUUAGAGAUUCAUUUAUUUCUGUUGUGUGCUUUUAUAAAUUUUAAGAACAAAAAAAAAUAAAGAGGGGAACCUAAAACUUUUUCAAAAAAGGAAAGUGAAAGUGAGAAAGACAAGCAUUGUUAAAGUGGGAGCUAGCCUUGAACUUUGUUCAUGCUCACGGAAACUUUGUGAAUCUUGAUUACAGAAACUUUUCAACAAAAAUAAUUAUCCCCUUGUACAAUUCCAUUGUAUUAUAAAAAUAAUGUGCUAAGGUUUGCCUUUAGGAUGUUUACAUUGCUUGUUGGUUUGUGCGGUGCAGAACAGAAACUUUGGCUGUAGUGCACGAUUUUACAUUUUUUACUGGAACGUCAAACGGUUCUGAAACCUUUUGCAAUGUAUUUCUAUACAAAUUUUUUAUUUUUCCUAAUUUUUUCAGAAGUUUUGGAGUACCAGAGGUAUGGUGAAUGUUCCGAUUACUACAGACUGUCCUGUUUAAGACAGAUUCUGUUUUUGAUGCAUUGUUUGCUUGUUUUGAUGAAACUACCGAUUUCUAUCAGUGGAUUAAGCCAUGAAAAAGUUAUAUUACAGUAGCUACAGUGCAAAAACAAAAAUGAAUUGGUUUGCAAUAUUAGAGUAGUGAUUUGCUUUAUUAUACUAACGGAUCUUACCGAGCUUUUUGUUGAGUUUUGUGUGGAUGAAGUGUUCGAAGAUCGAGGAGGUCUCGAUAUGAGGAGAAGGAGGAGAGGCAAGAUCUCAAGCUUGGGGAUGCCCAAGUCACCCCAAGUAAAUAUUCAAGGAGACUCAAGCGUCUAAGCUUGGGGAUGCCCCGGAAGGCAUCACAUCUUUCUUCAACAAGUAUCGGUAUGUUUUCGGAUUCAUUUCGUUCAUCUGAUAUGUGCAAAUCUUGGAGCGUCUUUUGCAUUUAGUUUUCACUUUUCUUUUAUGCACCAUGCUGGUAUGAGGUAGUCCUUGGUUGAUUUAUAGAAUGCUCAUUGCACUUCACUUAUAUCUUUUGAGUAUGGCUUUAUAGAAUGCUUCAUGUGCUUCACUUAUAUCGUUUAAAGUUUGGAUUGCCUGUUUCUCUUCACAUAGAAAACCGCCAUUUGUAGAAUGCUCUUUUGCUUCACUUAUACUUGUUAGAGCAUGGGCAUAUCUUUUGUAGAAAUAAUUAAACUCUCUUGCUUCACUUAUAUCUAUUUAGAGAGUUGACAGGAACUGGUCAUUCACAUGGUUGGUCAUAAAAUCCUACAUAAAAUUUGUAGAUCACUGAAUAUGAUAUGUUUGAUCCCUUGCAAUAGUUUUGCGAUAUAAAGAUGGUGAUAUUAGAGUCAUUCUAGUGGGUAGUUGUGGAUUCAAAUACUUGUGUUAUAGUUUGUGAUUCCCGUAGCAUGCACGUAUGGUGAACCGUUAUGUAACGAAGUUGGAGCAUGAGGUGUUCUUUGAUUGCUUUCCUUAUGAGUGGUGGUCGGGGACGAGCGAUGGUCUUUUCCUACCAAUCUAUCCCCCUAGGGCCAUGCAUAGUAGUACUUUGCUUCGAGGGCUAAUAAACUUUUGCAGUAAGUAUAUGAGUUCUUUAUGACUAAUGUGAGUCCAUGGAUUAUACGCACUCUCACCCUUCCAUCAUUGCUAGCCUCUUCGGUACCGUGCAUUGCCCUUUCUCAUCUCGAGAGUUGGUGCAAACUUCGCUGGUGCAUCCAAACCCCGUGAUACGAUACGCUCUAUCACACAUAAACCUCCUUAUAUCUUCCUCAAAACAGCCACCAUACCUACCUAUCAUGGCAUUUCCAUAGCCAUUCCGUGAUAUAUUGCCAUGCAACUUCCAUCAUCAUCAUAUACAUGACUUGAGCAUUUAUUGUCAUAUUGCUUUGCAUGAUCUUAAUUUAGCUAGCAUGAUGUUUUCAUGGCUUGUCCGUUUUUUGAUGUCAUUGCUAUGCUAGAUCAUUGCACAUCCCGGUACACCGCCAGAGGCAUUCAUAUAGAGUCAUAUCUUUGUUCUAGUAUCGAGUUUUAAUAUUGAGUUGUAAGUAAAUAAAAGUGUGAUGAUCAUCAUUAUUAGAGCAUUGCCCCAUGAAAAAAAAGAGAGGCCAAAGAAGCCUAAAUAAAAAAAGAGGGACAAAGAAGCCCGCCAAAAAGAAGAGAAAAAAGAAAAGGGGCAAUGUUACUAUCCUUUUACCACACUUGUGCUUCAAAGUAGCACCAUGUUCUUCAUAUAGAGAGUCUCUUGAGUUACCACUCUUAUAUACUAGUGGGAAUUUUCCAUUAUAGAACUUGGCUUGUAUAUUCCGAUGAUGGGCUUCCUCUUCAUGAGCAAGCAAGUUGGAUGCACACCCACUUAGUUUCCAGUUUGAUCUUUCAUACACUUAUAGCUCUUAGUGCAUCCGUUGCAUGGCAAUCCCUACUCCUCACAUUGACAUCAAUUGAUGGACAUCUCCCUAGCCCGUUGAGCCGCGUCGAUGUGAGACUUUCUCCUUUUUUGUCUUCUCACACAACCUCCAUCAUCAUAUUCUAUUUCACCCAUAGUGCUAUAUCCAUGGCUUGCGGUCAUGUAUUGCAUGAGGGUUGAAAAGGCUGAAGUGCAUUAAAAAGUAUGAACCAAUUGCUCGGCUUGUCAUCAGGGUUGUGCAUGAUUUGAAUAUUUUGUGUGGUGAAGAUGGAGCAUAGCCAGACUAUACGAUUUUGUAGGGAUAACUUUCUUUGGCCAUGUUAUUUUGAAAAGACAUGAUUGCUUUAUUAGUAUGCUUGAAGUAUUAUUGUCUUAAUGUUAAAUGAUAGACUAUUGCUUUGAAUCACUCGUGUCUUAAUAUUCAUGCCAUGAUUAGAGUAUGUGAUCAAGAUUAUGCUAGGUAGCAUUCCACAUCAAAAAUUAUCUUUUUUAUCAUUUACCUUCUCAAGGACGAGCAGGAAUUAAGCUUGGGGAUGCUGAUACGUCUCCGUCGUAUCUAUAAUUUUUUAUUGUUCCAUGCCAAUAUUAUGCAACUUUCCUAUACUUUUGGCAACUUUUUAUACUAUUUUUGGGACUAACAUAUUGAUCCAGUGCCCGGUGCCAGUUCCUGUUUGUUGCAUGUUUUUUGUUUCACAGAAAAUCCAUAUUAAACGGAGUCCAAACGGGAUAAAAACUGACGGAGAUUUUUUUGGAAUAUAUGUGAUUUUUGGGAAGAAGAAUCAACGUGAUACGAUGCCCGAGGGGGCCACGAGGCAGGGGGCGCGCCUGAGGGGGUCAGGCGCGCCCUGGGCCCUCGUGGCCACCCCGUAAGGUGGUUGGUGUCCUUCUUUCACUGCAAGAAAGCUAAUAUCCGGAUAGAGAUCGUGUCCAAAAUUCAGCCCAACCGGAGUUAGGGAACUCCGGGAAUUUAAGAAACGGUGAAAGGGCAGAAUCAGGGAACGCAGAAACAGAGAGAGACAGAGAGACAGAUCCAAUCUCGGAGGGGCUCUCGCCCCUCCCAUGCUAUGGAGACCAUGGACCAGAGGGGAAACCCUUCUCCCAUCUAGGGAGAAGGUCAAGGAAGAAGAAGAAGGAGGGGGGCUCUCUCCCCCUCGCUUCUGGUGGCACCGGAGUGCCGCCGGGGCCAUCAUCGUCACCGCAAUCUACACCAACAACUUCACCGCCGUCAUCACCAACUCUUCCCCCUCUAUGCAGCAGUGUAACCCCUCUUUUACUUGCUGUAAUCUCUACUUAAACAUGGUGCUCAACGUUAUAUAUUAUUUCCCAAUGAUGUAUGGCUAUCCUAUGAUGUUUGAGUAGAUCUGUUUUGUCCUAUGGGUUAAUUGAUGAUCGUGAUUGGUUUGAGUUGCAUGUUUUAUUAUUGGUUCUGUCCUAUGGUGCUCUCCGUGUCGCACAAGCAUGAGGGAUCCUCGCUGUAGGGUUUGUAAUAUGUUCAUGAUUUGCUUAUGGUGGGUGGCGUGAGUGACAGAAGCACAUACCCAAGUAAGUAGGUUGUUUGCGUAUGGGAGUAAAGAGGACUUGAUGCCUUAUAAUGCUAUGGUUUGGUUUUACCUUAAUGAUCUUUAGUAGUUGCGGAUGCUUGCUAGAGUUCCAAUCAUAAGUGCAUAUGAUCCAAGAAGAGAAAGUAUGUUAGCUUAUGCCUCUUCCUCAAAUAAAAUUGCAAUAAUGAUUACCGGUCUAGUUAUCGAUUGCCUAGGGACAAAUAACUUUCUCGUGACAAAAAGCUCUUUACUAAAACUAAUUUAGUUGUCUCCUUAUCUAAACAGCCCCUACUUUUUAUUUACGCGCUCUUUAUAUUCUUGCAAACCUAUCCAAAAAUACCUACAAAGUACUUCUAGUUUCAUACUUUUUCUAGGUAAAGCGAAUGUUAAGCGUGCGUAGAGUUGUAUCGGUGGUCGAUAGAACUUCAGGGAAUAUUUGUUCUACCUUUAGCUCCUCAUUGGGUUCGACACUCUUACUUAUCGAAAGAGGCUACAAUUGAUCCCCUAUACUUCUGGGCUUAUCAGUGCUCAUUUGACCUCGAUCGUGCCAGCUAGGGUUUUUUCAUGAAAAUGACCAUAGACCAAGUUUAGUAUUUUCCUUGUUAGUUUGUCUUAUAAAACGACGAACGGCGAAGGUUUCAUAUUUUUCUGAUAUUUUUUAAAUUACUUAUGCUCAGUCAAAGCCUUCGAAACCCCGUUGACCAGCUCAAAACCCCUCUAAACCCCGCGGGGUUUCGCCUAACCCUAGCUCCCAACGUCUGCCGUCCGAUCAUACCCUCGCGCCAAGCAAAAGCCCUCAGAUCUGGCCUUCUAGAAGGAAUUAGGUGGGCUGGCUGUGUGCAGGCUCCGCGCCGUUGGAUCACAAGGACGGCUCCGCAUCGUUCGAUCGUGGGGCGAUCCGCGAGAGGCGAUCCUAUUGGCUGUGCUCAGCUGCUCGCCCACCACUGACUCCGUGAAAAAAAAUGUUGUUAUUGGGCCCAAAAGGAAACCAAGCUCUGGUUGGGCCGUCGAAUUGCGUCGUUUUUUUGCAUCGUUUGCUCUGUUUUGUGAACGUGCUGGCUCUGUAUUUUUGCAUCGUUUUUUGCAUCAUUUGCUCUGUUUUUGCAUCAUUCUUUUUGUUCUAUACAAAUGUAAAAUGACCAAAUUUAUAAGGGCUAAAUUUAAUUUUAUCAUGUAAAAUAGCCACAAACUAUCAAAAAAAUGGGUCAUUUUGCAUUUGUAUAAUGGCCACAAGCCCUCUAUCUCUUUUUAUCAUGCAAAAUGACCAAAUUUUUAAGGGCCAAAUUAUUUUUAUCAUUCAAGAUGGCCACAAGCUCUUCAAAAAUUGUCUCUUUUGUUCAUAUAAUAUAGGGUUUGACCACGGAUUCCCACGCAUGCAAUUAGCUUGUUUUUCUUCUUCUUUUCAAACCACCUUUUCCCACGCGUGUACACUCCCGAUGCCGCGGUGGGUUUGAAAACGGGCUACUAACUUCACAUUUGACCCCGUUAUUACCAUGGCCAAAUAACACGUAGCACUACGGCUAUUUAAGCCACCCUCUGCCUCUGCCAUCCCUCAUCCAUCUGCCCUUCUCUUCGACCCCUUCUCCGUCUUCUGCACAUCCCUCAGCCAUGCAGUACACCGGACCAACCUACCGCUUCCCACCCACCGUGCCGGAGAGGCCCUACCCUACGGGCGUGUACGUUGAUCGCACACUACGUGUGUGGGCGAUAUCUAGGCUGAGGACCGCAAGGAACUUCACCGAGUUCUUCCUCGCGUCUGGCUACCACCACCUCCCUAGGGGAUCUCCAAUGAUGUUCCACGUCGAGGAGGUCAUCCAAAACCGGGUGGUGGUUGCUCUCCUUGCCCACUUCACCAAGACAUUCGACGCCUUCUACCUCCUCGGCCAGGUGUUUUGGUGUGGCUCCGAGUUCAUCGCUUUCACCACCCACAACAGGUUCACGGAGUACAACAACAUUUUCCCCACCGCGACGCGCAUGCACACUCUUCCGUACCCCAUUGACAACGCCCCGGAGGAGCAGUGAAAAGGGCGCCCGGAGGAGGGGUGAGGUGGAGAAGGCGGCGGCUAGGGUUCUAAACCCUCUAUCUUUUUUAGUCUAUGUUAUGUUAAGUUGUAAUUGAACUAUGUUGGAGUUGCUAUGGGCUUGUUGGCCCUUUUCUUAAAUUCUAUUAUUAAGUUCUUCCUAGUUUGAGCUAUGUGAUCGUGCUAUGGGCUUGUUGGCCCUAUCUACAUAUUGGGACUGCAUAUUUGUUGAUUAUUUUCUUAGAGAGCUCGGCUUGUCAGUAGGGGUUCCCUUGUUAGUAACCACCUAGCUAGUGCAUGCAAGCAAGCUUUGUUAGUAGGGAUGAAUGAGUACAACUAAGCAAGGGAGUGGCUCUUUUUUAACACAAGCCACAAAUAUGUAGCCACCUAGCUAGAAGAGAGAAACCAGCAGCAGUGACCGUCGCUGCAUCCGUGGCAGCUAGCGUGCAAGAAAGCUGCUCGAUCAGUGCAUCGUGGCAGACGCAUCGGCGCAUGCAGGCUCGGUCGGCGCAUCAUGGGAUCGUGGCAUCGGCGCGUGCAGGCUUGAUCGACGCAUGCAUGCAGGAUUUGCUGGGUGCACGCAUAGCAGGCUUCUGUCCUGGCGGCGCGCAGAUGUUUAAUGCAAGGGACGGCCCAACGAAACCAUGACCCAAUGGUCGAACAACGACACCACCCAACGCGGCAUAGUCAAGCCUUUGACCCGACGACAACGUCCGUUGUGCCCAGUUAUGAGGGUUUCUGGCAAGGUGUAACACCCCGGAUGUAACUUGCCAUAUUUGGAACUUCGACUCUUGCCAUUUUCGACUUUAAGUUAUGAGAUACCCUUUGUGGUUGGGUUUUGUCUUCGUUUUGCAUUUUGUUCAUGUCAUGCAUUUCAUUCCGUGUCAUCAUGUGCAUCACAUUUGCAUACGUGUUCGUCUCAUGCAUCCGAGCUUUUUCCCCGUUGUCCGUUUCGCAGUCCGACACUCCCACAUGCACCGGCGCACCCCUCUUAUCUUUUUUUGUGAGCGGGUGUUAAACGUUCUCGGAAUGGACCGAGAUUUGCCAAGUGGCCUUGGUACACCACCGGUAGACCGCCUGCCAAAUUUCGUGCCAUUUGGAGUCCAUUUGAUACUCCAACGGUUAACCGGGGAACCGUAAAGGCCUCGUGUGUGUUGCAGCCCAGCACCCCUCCAAAACGGCCCAAUAACCCUUCCAAACCACUCCCAUGUCCCCCGUCGUCGGAUCACGAUCGCGUGGUCGAAAACUACACCCCAUUUGGACACUCCUAACUCCCUCUACCUAUAAAAAGAGCUUCUCCUCCGAAAUUUCGGGCAAAACCCUAGUCUCCCCCUUCCUCCACGCGCCGGACACGUCCGCCCGGCACCGGACACGUCCUCCGCCGUCCCCUCGUCCAAUUGCUGCGCGCCACGUCAACGGGCCGCGCCCCACUUCGCCGCCCGCCGCCGCCGGCCCGCUCGGCCCGUGCGGGGCCCCCGCGGNNNNNNNNNNNNNNNNNNNNNNNNNNNNNNNNNNNNNNNNNNNNNNNNNNNNNNNNNNNNNNNNNNNNNNNNNNNNNNNNNNNNNNNNNNNNNNNNNNNNNNNNNNNNNNNNNNNNNNNNNNNNNNNNNNNNNNNNNNNNNNNNNNNNNNNNNNNNNNNNNNNNNNNNNNNNNNNNNNNNNNNNNNNNNNNNNNNNNNNNNNNNNNNNNNNNNNNNNNNNNNNNNNNNNNNNNNNNNNNNNNNNNNNNNNNNNNNNNNNNNNNNNNNNNNNNNNNNNNNNNNNNNNNNNNNNNNNNNNNNNNNNNNNNNNNNNNNNNNNNNNNNNNNNNNNNNNNNNNNNNNNNNNNNNNNNNNNNNNNNNNNNNNNNNNNNNNNNNNNNNNNNNNNNNNNNNNNNNNNNNNNNNNNNNNNNNNNNNNNNNNNNUCCGCCGCCCCGGCGACCUUCGCUCCCCGCCGCCGAGAGCGCCUCGCCGCGCGCCACCUCGCCGCCCAGCGCCGCCCCCUCGUCGUUCGCGCCCGGAUCCGGCGAGAUCCGCCCCGGAGCUGCCUCGCCGGCGCCUCCCCGCACUUCUCCGGUGACAUCUCCGGCCAACCUCGGUUUCCGUGCGAGGAACCCUAGAUCCAUUUCGGAGGGGUAUAAUUUCUCCAAGUCUUUUCUGUGAUACAUUUUAUGCCCCUGUUCUUCAUGCCAUAACUCCCCGUAGCUCUGUUUCAUGCGCAUGAUAUGUCAAAAUGUUCAUUGUGAGAUGCUCUUCAUUUCGUUUCAUUGUGGCAUGCUUGUUUGAGUUCAUCUUGAUGCCCAAAUCAUUGAUGCAAGAGGGCUAUAAAAUGUUUACUGCUGCUACUUAUCAGAUUAUGGCGAUUUGUCAUUUUUGUUGCAUUUUAUGUGAGCAUUAUAUGAGCAUGAGCUCUACAUGUGUUUUGAUCUAUGCCAUGCCAUAUUUACAGGGGUGCUUGCCAUAUAUUUUUGUGAUCAUUGUGGUGACUAGCACAAGCAUGCAAAGUAGUCUUCGUGAUAUUGCUGAUUUCAGGGUCUUAGGAUUUUGCAAAGUCCUUGUUCUGCUGUUAUUUUGAUGCCAUGUAAACUUGAUGCUACAGCAAAAUCCAUGCUUUUUUGGGGAUACUUCAGUAAGGAUGUUUGAACAUAUGAUUAUGCUCUAUCCAUCCAUGCCCUUUUUGGAAUUAUGGAGUGCCCUAGCAUGUCUUGUUCUUGCUCUACUUUUGCUAUAAAAUGUUCCUCGCAGAUUGUUUACAUGUUAAUCAAUUUUUCCACGGUUGUUGCUAGUGAUCCAUGCAUGAUAUGAACUUUCUCUUGCCAUGGUUAGCUUCCUGAGCAUGUCAUCUUGCUAUUAGUAUGCUUGUUUUGUCAUGAAAGGUCUUGUGAUGAGUGUUUUCAGCUCGCAAAGUUGCCUUCAUGAUGCUGUAUAUGCCUUGCUCUGUUUUCUGCAAAGUAUGGAACUGUUAAUAAAACUUGCUAUGUUUAUAUGGGUGCCAUCAUAUCUUCUGUGCCAUUUUUGCUCAUGAUCACUAAGGGACUUUUGUUCUAUGCAUUUAGUAGAUUCAUGCCAAGCCUUCAUUUGCUAUUAUAUGUUCCUGUAGCAUGUUGUUUGCUUGCUCUAAACAUGGCUUCCUGAUGUUAUUUCUGGCAUGUUAGUAUUUUCACCAAGUCUGUGAAGCUGAUAUCUUUUGCACUUUUUCCAUGCUUGUUUGAACCUGCUCUGGUGUGAUUUAGCCGUAGCUCAGUGUUCAUAUUUUGUCAAGCAUCUUGAGUGCAUCACUUCCAUAUGACUUAUUGAUAUGUUGGAGUGCAGUAGCUUAGUUUCUUGUUGUAUGCUAAGUGGCAUCAUGCUGUUAAUCGCAUAAUUGUGCCAUCCUUGUUUUUCUUGCCAUUCGCAAACCGUGCAUCCGAUUCCGGUGAUCUUUAUAUCGAUUUCAACCGAAAUCAUCUCAUCUUUCCAGAGGCAUACUUGGUUUGCCAAGUUGAUGCCUUGUUCAUCUUUUCCCUUCCGGAGCACGCAUAUGCAUUGCAUAUCACAUCUCGCAUAUCAUGUCAUGUAUUGCAUCAUGUUGCUUGUGCAUUGCAUCGUGAUUGAUUGUUGGUCAUUUGCUUGUUUUUGCUUUGGGUAGAGCCGGGAGACGAGUACGUGAAUGAGGAACCUGUUGAGAACGCUUACGAGAAUCAAGCUUUCGACAACUCUGAGAACUUUGCAGGCAAGAUGAACAUACCCUCGAAAUCACUUCUAUCUUUGCUUGCUAGUUGUUCGCUUUAUUGCUAUGCCGCGCUACCUACCACUUGCUAUAUCAUGCGUCCCAUAUGUCCAUGUCAAGCCUCUAACCCACCUUUCCUAGCAAACCGUUGUUUGGCUAUGUUACCGCUUUUGCUCAGCCCCUCUUAUAGCGUUGCUAGUUGCAGGUGGAGAUGAAGUUGGUUCCAUGUUGGAACAUGGAUAUUUUGGGAUAUCACAAUAUCUCUUAUUUAAUUAAUGCAUCUAUAUAUUUGGUAAAGGGUGGAAGGCUCGGCCUUAUGCCUGGUGUUUUGUUCCACUCUUGCCGCCCUAGUUUCCGUCAUACCGGUGUUAUGUUCCUUGAUUUUGCGUUCCUUACGCGGUUGGGUGAUAAUGGGAACCCCUUGACAGUUCGCCUUCAAUAAAACUCCUGCAGUAAGGCCCAACCUUGGUUUUACCAUUUGCCACCUAAGCCUUUUUCCCUUGGGUUUCGCGGACUCAAGGGUCAUCUUUAUUUUAACCCCCCCGGGCCAGCGCUCCUCUGAGUGUUGGUCCGAACCGAGCAGCCUGUGGGGCCACCUCAGGGAAACUCGAGGCCUGGUUUUACUCAUAGCUUGACUUAUCCGGUGUGCCCUGAGAACGAGAUAUGUGCAGCUCCUAUUGGGAUUUGUCGGCACAUUCGGGCGUCUUUGCUGGUCUUGUUUUACCAUUGCCGAAAUGUCUUGUAACCGGGAUUCUGAGUCUGAUCGGGUCUUCCUGGGAGAAGGAAUAUCUUUCGUUGACCGUGAGAGCUUGUGAUGGGCUAAGUUGGGACACCCCUGCAGGGUAUUAUCUUUCGAGAGCCGUGCCCGCGGUUAUAUGGCAGAUGGGAAUUUGUUAAUGUCCGAUUGUAGAGAACUUGACACUUGACUUAAUUAAAAUGCAUCAACCGCGUGUGUAGCCGUGAUGGUCUGUUUUCGGCGGAGUCCGGGAAGUGAACACGGUCUUGUGUUAUGCUUGAACGUAAGUAGUUUCAGGAUCACUUCUUGAUCUUUUCUAGCUUCUCGACUGUGCAUCGCUUCUCUUCUCGCUCUCAUUUGCGUAUGUUAGCCACCAUACAUGCUUAGUGCUUGCUGCAGCUCCACCACAUUCCCCCUUUCCUACCCAUAAGCUUAAAUAGUCUUGAUCUCGCGGGUGUGAGAUUGCUGAGUCCUCGUGACUCACAGAUUCUACCAAAACAGUUGCAGGUGCCGAGGAUACCAGUGCAGGUGACGCAACCGAGCUCAAGUGGGAGUUCGACGAGGACCUUGGUCGUUACUAUGUUUCGUUUCCUGAUGAUCAGUAGUGGAGCCCAGUUGGGAUGAUCGGGGAUCUAGCUUUUGGGGUUGUCUUCUUUUAUAUUGGUUCCGUACUCGGACCUUGAUUGUACUCUGAAUGAUGUAUGUUUAAUUUAUGUAUUGUGUGACGUGGCGAUUGUAAGCCAACUCUUCAUCCCAUUCUUGUUCAUUACAUGGGAUUGUGUGAAGAUGACCCUUCUUGCGACAAAACCACCAUGCGGUUAUGCCUCCAAGUCGUGCCUCGACACGUGGGAGAUAUAGCUGCAUCGUGGGCGUUACACAAGGGAGUGGGGAAAAAUUGAGCAAAAGUUAAGGCGACCACCACACCUUUACAAUCUUCUCCGAAGCACACCACAACCACGGAAGCUUCCGGAGGAACUUGACCACCUAGGCCACUUCACACCCUUCCCCGGAGCACACCACAAAAGGAAGCUUCCGGAGUAACCUUGGCCACCUAGGCCUCUUCACAAACUUCUCAAAGAUAUCACCAAACCGUCUAGGAAGCGAAGCCUCCAAGAGUAAUAAACUCACGGGCUCUCACUAGAACAAAUCGAUGUGGGGAGCUCAAAACAAUGCAACAAAUGCAAUGCAAGGUCAAGCAACAAAUGCUCAACUCACUCUCUCAAUCUCACAAGAUGCAACUCAAGAAAGUGGAAGAUUGAAGAGAGGGGAUGCAAUGGAGGAAAUCAACAAAUGACUCCAAGAUCCAUCCACAAAUCCCCCUUCACUUAGAGGGGAUAUAGGGGUUUGGGAGAAGUGGUAAGAGGCCCAAAAUGAUGUUUAGAAUGUGAAUGAACAGCCCCCCAACCGGUGGGAGGAAGGAGCCCUUAAAUAGCCAAAACCCAAAACUAGUCGUUAGGGCUCAACGGGUAGUUCCUGGACACCCCGUGCCCAUGGGGGUUUAGACCCCGUGCUCACGGGGUCCCGUGCGCACGGUACAAGCCCGUACACACGGGGCCCCGUGCCCACGGGGUACCCAGGACAGCCUGCAGCAGCCCACUAAAACAUGCAUAACUUUGGUAUACGAACUCCGAAUUUGAUGGUCUUGGGCUCGUUUUAAAGCUAUGGAAAAGCCCAAGGUCGUCACAUAGAGAACCACCCAAGAUCAACCAAAAAUAAUGAUGCAAAUUAUGCAAAGGUUUGAGCUCUCUUUUUGCGACGUGAUCAAGCUACUCACCCGAAAGUCCCUCUUGAUAGUACGGCUAUCAUACCUAUAAUCCGGUCUCUCUCCAAGCACCAUGAGACCGGAAAAACUAGGAAAACCUAGCUAAGGUAUACCUUUUCCUUGCACAUUCAACUUGAGCUUGGUGAUGACUUUGAUGCUUGCCUCAAGUUGGAAUAUUUUUAUUGUCCACAAUCACUUGGUGAACAUACUCGAAAUGCUUCCUCAUAUUGCAAUGAGGGAAGCCUUAACUUAAGCCCAUAUUCACAUGCACAUUAUCAUGAUGUGGAACGCAAACUUCAAAGCAUAUAACCUCUGGCUUCUCAUCUUGCACUUGGACUCCUCGAACCCGAUGACCAUCACCACUUGAUGUCAUCCACACAUAGGCUACUUGAAAUAUCUCUCUUUUGAUGCAAGCCCAUGAGAACCACCUAACCCACACAAACAUAGAAAGCACAUAGCAUGGGUUAGCUAGCAAAGCAUAAUUCACAAUUACUUACCAUACCAGUAGAUCACUUGAUCCCACGUGAUACAAAGAUUGCGCUUUGAGAGUUGACCAUCUAAAUAACCAUCGAGCUUCAUCUUGGUCAACCAACAUCUUUACUUCAUGACCCAUCUUGGUUUCUUGAAAGCCACAAUGAACUCUUCAUUUCCCUUUAUUGCUUCAAGAAAGAGAUCACCAAAGACUCUUUCAUGACCAUAUCAAGUUUCACUAAGAAUAUCAUAUUGGUCAUCAUUUGCUCUCUAAAAACUCCAUUGUAAUCUCUUGAGAGGCACAAUGAAUUCUUCACUCUAGUUGCUUGCUUCAAGACUUGAUCAACCGAAAACCCAACACAUGAGCUUAUCAUGAUCUUGUGUUGAAACCAUAACUUGAAUUCUUCUAUUUGAUUAUACUCUCAAGCUCUUGAUCCUUAAAAUCCCACAUAUGUCAAUCUUUGAGAUCCUCUAACGAACUCCACCUUGAAUAUAGUUGGUUAGACAUUAAAAUCCAUCUUGAUGGCUUCAACAUAAAUUCCCAAAGACCAACUUGACACCUUACUGGAUAUGUGACCUCGAGUGCCAAAACCUAGGCCCCGUGUGCACGGGGGUCAUGGACCCCGUGUGCCCGGGGUAUCCAGAGAGUUGACACUCGACCCCGUGCGCACGGGGUAUCCAGAGAGGGAUACCAUGAGGACUUCUUCGAAUGUUUUGAUGGCAUUCUUCCCACAUAAAUCCAACAUGCCUCAUGCAUCACUAUGGAACAUUUCUUCAUAUAGGAUUCAAUGCACUUGAUGCUCCAUAGGAAUUUGUCAAUUAAUACCAACACUUAGAGCAACCAUAUCUUCAUAUAUAUGGACUUUAUCAUUGAUUCCAUCUAAUAUCCUUGAUGCACCAUCUAUGAACAAUCCCUUCAAAUAUAUCUCAAUGAAAUCAUUAGUCCAAAGAGAUUGUCAUUAAUUACCAAAACAACACUUAGGGCUACAUGCCCUUUCAGCUUCUCUCGAGAAAAAUAUCAAACGGUGGGUAAACAAAUUACUGUUGGGUAAUUGAUAGAACUUGAAAUAAUCAUGACGAUAUCUAGGCAAUGAUCAUUACAUAGGGAUCACGUCCAAGAUUAGUAGACCGACUCCUGCGUGCAUCUACUACUAUUACUCCACACAUUGACCGCUAUCCAACAUGCAUCUAGUGUAUUAAGUUCAUGGAAAAAUGGAGUAAUGCAAUAAGAACGAUGACAUGAUGUGGACAAGAUCCGUUUAUCUAUAUGGCGGUAGAUAUAGAUCUUUUUUUUAUCCUUAGUAGCAAUGAUACAUACGUGUCGGUUCCCCUUUUGUCACUGGGAUCGAGCAUCGUAAGAUCGAACCCACUACUGGGCACCUCUUUCCAUUGCAAGAUAAAUAGAUCAAGUUGGCCAAACAAAACCCAAAUAUCGGAGAAGAAAUAUGAGGCUAUAAGAGAUCAGGCAUAUAAGAGAUCAAAAAACUCAAAUAACUUUCAUGGAUAUAAAAAGAUAUAACUGAUCAUAAACUCGAAGUUCAUCAUAUCCCAACAAACACACCGCAAAAGAGUUACAUCAUAUAGGUCUCAAGAGACCAUUGUAUUGAGAAUUCAGCGAGAGAGAGAAGGCCAUCUAACUACUAACUACGGACCCGAAGGUCUACAAAGAACUACUUGAAGGAAAUAUGCCCUAGAGGCAAUAAUAAAGUUAUUAUUUAUUUCCUUAUUUCAUGAUAAAUGUUUAUUAUUCAUGCUAGAAUUGUAUUAACCGGAAACAUGAUACAUGUGUGAAUACAUAGACAAACAGAGUGUCACUAGUAUGCCUCUACUUGACUAGCUUGUUGAUCAAAGAUGGUUAAGUUUCCUAACCAUAGACAUGAGUUGUCAUUUGAUAAACAGGAUCACAUCAUUAGGAGAAUGAUGUCAUUGACUUGACCCAUUCCGUUAGCUUAGCACUUGAUCGUUUAGUAUGUUGCUAUUGCUUUCUUCAUGACUUAUACAUGUUCCUACGACUAUGAGAUUAUGCAACUCCCGAAUACCGGAGGAACACUUUGUGUGCUACCAAAUGUCACAAUGUAACUGGGUGAUUAUAAAGGUGCUCUACAGGUGUUUCCAAUGGUACUUGUUGAGUUGGCAUAGAUCGAGAUUAGGAUUUGUCACUCCGAUUGUCGGGGAGGUAUCUCUGGGCCCUCUCGGUAAUGCAUGUCACUAUAAGCCUUGCAAGUAAUGUGACUAAUGAGUUAGUUGCGGGAUGAUCAUUAUGGAACGAGUAAAGACACUUGCCGGUAACGAGAUUAAACUAGGCAUUGAGAUACCGACGAUCGAAUCUCGGGCAAGUAACAUACCGAUGACAAAGGGAACAACGUAUGUUGUUAUGCGGUUUGACCGAUAAAGAUCAUCAUAGAAUAUGUAGGAGCCAAUAUGAGCAUCCAGCUUCCGCUAUUGGUUAUUGACCGGAGACGUGUCUCGGUCAUGUCUACAUAGUUCUCGAACCCGUAGGGUCCGCACACUUAACAUUCGGUGACGAUCGGUAAUAUGAGUUUAUAUGUUUUGAUGUAACGAAGGUAGUUCGGAGUCUCGGAUGAGAUCGGGGACAUGACGAGGAGUCUCGAAAUGGUUGAGGCGUAAAGAUCGAUAUAUUGGACGACUAUAUUCGGACAUCGGAAAGGUUCCGAGUGAUUCGGGUAUUUUUCGGAGUACCGGAGAGUUACGGGAAUUCGCCGGGGAGUAUAUGGGCCUUAUUGGGCUUUAGGGGAAAGAGAGAGGGGAGGCUGCGCACCCCCCAAGGCUUAGUCCGAAUUGGACUAGGGGGAGGGGCGGCGCUCCCUCCUUCCUUCUCUUCUCUUUUCCCUUUCCUUCUCUCCUACUCCUACUACUUGGAAGGGCUCCUAGUUCUACUAGGAAAGGGGAAAUCCUACUCCCGGUGGGAGUAGGACUCCCCUAGGGCGCGCCAUAGAGAGGGCUGGCCCUCCCCCUCCUCCACUCCUUUAUAUACGGGGAGGGGGGCACCCCAUAGACUCACAAGUUGAUCAUUGAUCUCUCUUAGCUGUGUGCGGUGCCCCUCUCCACCAUAAUCCACCUCGGUCAUAUCGUAGCGGUGCAUAGGCGAAGCCCUGCGUCAGUAGCAUCAUCAUCACCAUCAUCACGCUGUCGUGCUGACAGAACUCUCCCUCGAAGCUCUGCUGGAUCGGAGUUCGUGGGACGUCAUCGAGCUGAACGUGUGCUGAACUCGGAGGUGCCGUGUGUUCGGUACUUGGAUCGGUCGGAUCGUGAAGACGUACGACUACAUCAACCGCGUUGUCAUGACGCUUCCGCUUUCGGUCUACGAGGGUACGUGGAUACACUCUCCCCUCUCGUUGCUAUGCAUCACCAUGAUCUUGCGUGUGCGUAGGAAAUUUUUGAAAUUACUACGUUCCCCAACAGUGGCAUCCGAGCCAGGUUUAUGCGUAGAUGUUAUAUGCACGAGUAGAACACAAGUGAGUUGUGGGCGAUAUAAGUCAUACUGCUUACCAGGAUGUCACACUUUGGUUCGGCGGUAUUGUUGGAUGAAGCGGCCCGGACCGACAUUACGCGUACGCUUACGCGAGACUGGUUUUACCGCCGUGCUUUGCACACAGGUGACUAGCGCGUGUCAGUUUCUUCAACUUUAGUUGAAUCGAGUGUGGCUACGCCCGGUCCUUGAGAAGGUUAAAACAGCACUAACUUGACAAACUAUCAUUAUGGUUUUGAUGCGUAGGUAAGAACGGUUCUUGCUCAGCCUGUAGCAGUCACGUAAAACUUGCAACAACAAAGUAGAGGACGUCUAACUUGUUUUUGCUGGACAUGUUGUGAUGUGAUAUGGUCAAGACAUGAUGCUAAAUUUUAUUGUAUGAGAUGAUCAUGUUUUGUAACAGAGUUAUCGGCAACUUGCAGGAGCCAUAUGGUUGUUGCUUUAUUGUAUGCAAUGCAAUCGCCCUGUAAUUGCUUUACUUUAUCACUAAGCGGUAGCGAUAGUCGUAGAAGCAAUAGUUGGCGAGACGACAACGAUGCUACGAUGGAGAUCAAGGUGUCGCGCCGGUGACGAUGGUGAUCAUGACGGUGCUUUGGAGAUGGAGAUCAAAGGCACAAGAUGAUGAUGGUCAUAUCAUAUCACUUAUAUUGAUUGCAUGUGAUGUUUAUCUUUUAUGCAUCUUAUUUUGCUUAGAUCGACGGUAGCAUUAUAAGAUGACCUCUCACUAAAUUUCAAGGUAUAAGUGUCCUCCCUGAGUAUGCACCGUUGCGAAAGUUCGUCGUGCCGAGACACCACGUGAUGAUCGGGUGUGAUAAGCUCUAUGUUCACAUACAACGGGUGCAAGCCAGUUUUGCACACGCAGAAUACUCGGGUUAAACUUGACGAGCCUAGCAUAUGUAGAUAUGGCCUCGGAACACUGGAGACCGAAAGGUCAAGCGUGAAUCAUGUAGAAGAUAUGAUCAACAUAGUGAUGUUCACCAUUGGAAACUACUCCAUCUCACGUGAUGAUCGGACAUGGUUUAGUUGAUAUGGAUCACGUGAUCACUUAGAUGAUUAGAGGGAUGUCUAUCUAAGUGGGAGUUCUUAAGUAAUAUGAUUAAUUGAACUUUAAUUUAUCAUGAACUUAGUCCUCGUAGUAUUAGCAUAUCUAUGUUGUAGAUCAAUAGCUCGCGUUUAGCUCCCCUGUUUUAUUUUUGAUAUGUUCCUAGAGAAAAAUAAAGUUGAAAGAUGUUAGUAGCAAUGAUGCGGAUUGGACCCGUGAUCUGAGGAUUAUCCUCAUUGCUGCACAGAAGAAUUAUGUCCUUGAUGCACCGCUAGGUGAUGGACCUAUUGCAGGAGCAUAUGCAGACGUUAUGAACGUUUUUGGCAAAAGCUCGGUAUGAUGACUACUUGAUAGUUUAGUGCACCAUGAUUUACGGCUUAGAAUCGGGGCUUCAAAUACGUUUUGAACGCCACGGAGCAUAUGAGAUGUUCCAAGAGUUGAAAUUAGUAUUUCAAACUCAUGCCCAUGUCGAAAGGUAUGAGACCUUUGACAAGUACUUUGCCUACAAGAUAGAGGAGAAUUGCUCAGCUAGUGAGCAUGUGCUCAAAAUGUCUGAGUACUACAAUCACUUGAAUCAAGUGGGAGUUAAUCUUCCAGAUAAGAUAGUGAUUGAUAGAGUUCUCUAGUCACUAUCACCAAGUUACUAGAACUUCGUGAUGAACUAUAAUAUGCAAGGGAUAACAGAAACGAUUCCCAGAGCUCUUCGUGAUGUUGAAAUCGACGAAGAUAGAAAUCAAGAAAAGCAUCAAGUGUUGAUGGUUGACAAGACCACUAGUUUCAAGAAAAGGGCAAAGGGAAGAAGGGGAACUUCAAGAAGAACGGCAAGCAAGUUGCUGCUCAAGUGAAUAAACCCAAGUCUGGACCUAAGCCAGAGACUGAGUGCUUCUACUGCAAAGGGACUGGUCACUGGAAGCGGAACUGCCCCAAGUAUUUGGCGGAUAAGAAGGAUGGCAAAGUGAACAAAGGUAUAUUUGAUAUACAUGUUAUUGAUGUGUACUUUACUAGUGUUUAUAGCAACCCCUCGGUAUUUGAUACUAGUUCAGUUGCUAAGAUUAGUAACUCGAAACGGGAGUUGCAGAAUGAACAGAGACUAGUUAAGGGUGAAGUGACGAUGUGUGUUGGAAGUAGUUCCAAGAUUGAUAUGAUCAUCAUCGCACACUCCCUAUACUUUCGGGAUUAGUGUUGAACCUAAAUAAGUGUUAUUUGGUGUUUGCGUUGAACAUGAAUAUGAUUUGAUCAUGUUUAUUGCAAUACGGUUAUUCAUUUAAGUUAAAGAAUAAUUGUUGUUCUGUUUACAUGAAUAAAACCUUGUAUAGUCAUACACCCAACAAAAAUGGUUUGUUGGAUCUCGAUAGUAGUGAUACACAUAUUUAUAAUAUUGAAGCCAAAAGAUGCAGAGUUGAUAAUGAUAGUGCAACUUAUUUGUGGCACUGCCGUUUAGGUCAUAUUGGUGUAAAGCGCAUGAAUAAAAUCCAUGCUGAUGGGCUUUUGGAAUCACUUGAUUAUGAAUCAGUUGAUGAUUGCGAACCAUCCUCAUGGGCAAGAUGACUAAGACUCCGUUCUCCGGAACAAUGGAGCGAGCAACGGACUUGUUGGAAAUAAUACAUACUGAUGUAUGCAGUCCGAUGAGUGUUGAGGCUCGCGGCAGGUAUCAUUAUUUUCCGACCUUCACCGAUGAUUUGAGAAGAUAUGGGUAUAUCUACUUGAUGAAACAUAAGUCUGAAACAUUUGAAAAGUUCAUAUAAUUUCAGAGUGAAGUGGAAAAUCAUCGUAACAAGAAAAUAAAGUUUCUACGAUCUGAUCGUGGAGGAGAAUAUUUGAGUUACGAUUUUGGUCUUCAUUUGAAACAAUGCAGAAUAGUUUCGCAACUCACGCCACCUGGAAUACCACAGCGUAAUGGUGUGUCUGAACAUCAUAACCGUACUUUAUUAGAUAUGGUGCAAUCUAUGAUGUCUCUUACCGAUUUACCACUAUCGUUUUGGGGUUAUGCAUUAAAGAUAGCUGCAUUCACAUUAAAUAGGACACCAUCUAAAUCCGUUGAGACGACACCAUAUGAAUUGUGGUUUGGCAAGAAACCAACGUUGACGUUUCUUAAAGUUUGGGGUUGCGAUGCUUAUGUGAAAAGUUUCAUCCUGAUAAGCUCAAACCCAAAUCGGAGAAUUGUGUCUUCAUAGGAUACCCAAAGGAGGCAGUUGGGUACACCUUCUAUCACAGAUCCGAAGGCAAGACAUUCAUUGCUAAGAAUGGAUCCUUUCUAGAGAAGGAGUUUCUCUCGAAAGAAGUGAGUGGGAGGAAAGUAGAACUUGAUGAGGUAAAUGUACCUGCUCCCUUAUUGGAAAGUAGUUCAUCAGAGUAAUCUGUUUCUCUGACCCUACACCAAUUAGUGAGGAAGCUAAUGAUGAUGAUCAUGUAACUUCAGAUCAAGUUACUACCGAAUCUCGUAGGUCAACCAGAGUAAGAUCCGCACCAGAGUGGUUCGAUAAUCCUGUUCUGGAAGUCAUGUUACUUGACCAUGACGAACCUACGAACUAUGAGGAAGCGAUGAUGAGCCCAGAUUCCGCGAAAUGGCUUGAGGCCAUGAAAUCUGAGAUGGGAUCCAUGUAUGAGAACAAAGUGUGGACUUUGGUUGACUUGCCCAAUGAUCAGCAAGCCAUAGAAAAUAAAUGGAUCUUCAAGAGGAAGACGGACGCUGAUAGUAGUGUUACUAUCUACAAAGCUAGACUUGUUGAAAAAAGGUUUUUGACAAAGUUCAAGGUGUUGACUACGAUGAGAUUUUCUCACUCGUAGCGAUGCUUAAGUCUGUCCGAAUCAUGUUAGCAAAUUACCACAUUUUAUGAAAUCUGGCAAAUGGAUGUCAAAACUACAUUCCUUAAUUGAUUUCUUAAACAAGAGUUGUAUAUGAUGCAACCAGAAGGUUUUGUCGAUCCUAAAGGUGCUAACAAAAUGUGCAAGCUCCAACAAUCCAUCUAUGGACUGGUGCAAGCAUCUCGGAGUUGGAAUAUACGCUUUGAUGAUUUGAUCAAAAGCAUAUAGUUUUAUACAUAUUUGUGGUGAAGCCUGUAUUUACAAGAAAGUGAGUGGGAGCACUACAUUCUUUCUGAUAAGUAUAUGUGAAUGACAUAUUGCCGAUCGGAAAUGAUGUAGAAUUUUCUGUAAAGCAUAAAGGAGUGUUUGAAAGGAGUUUUUCAAAGAAAGACCUCGGUGAAGCUGCUUACAUAUUGAGCAUCAAGAUCUAUAGAGAUAGAUCAAGACGCUUGAUAAAUUUUUUCAAUGAGUACAUACCUUGACAAGUUUUUGAAGUAGUUCAAAAUGGAACAGUCAAAGAAAGAGUUCUUGCCUGUGUUCCAAGGUGUGAAGUUGAGUAAGACUCAAAGCCCGACCACGACAGAAGAUAGAGAGAGAAUGAAAGUCAUUCCCUAUGCCUCAGCCAUAGGUUCUAUAAAGUAUGCCAUGCUGUGUACAACACCUAUUGUAUACCCUACACUGAGUUUGGCAAGGGAGUACAAUAGUGAUCUAGGAGUAGAUCACUGGACAGCGGUCAAAAUUAUCCUUAGUGGAAUAAGGAUAUGUUUCUCGAUUAUGGAGGUGGCAAAAGGUUCGUCGUAAAGGGUUACAUCGAUGCAAGUUCUGACAAUCCAGAUGACUCUAAGUCUCAAUCUGGAUACAUAUUGAAAGUGGGAGCAAUUAGCUAGAGUAGCUCCAUGCAGAGCAUUGUUGACAUAGAAAUUUGCAAAAUACAUACGGAUCUGAAUAUGGCAGACCCGUUGACUAAACUUCUCUCACAAGCAAAACAUGAUCACACCUUAGUACUCUUUGGGUGUUAGUCACAUAGCGAUGUGAACUAGAUUAUUGACUAUAGUAAACCCUUUGGGUGUUGGUCACAUGACGAUGUCAACUAUGGGUGUUAAUCACAUGGUGAUGUGAACUAUUGAUGUUAAAUCACAUGGCGAUGUGAUCUGGAUUAUUGACUCUAGUGCAAGUGGGAGACUGAAGGAAAUAUGCCCUCGAGGCAAUAAUAAAGUUAUUAUUUAUUCCCUUAUUUCAUGAUAAAUGUUUAUUAUUCAUGCUAGAAUUGUAUUAACCGGAAACAUAAUACAUGUGUGAAUACAUAGACAAACAGAGUGUCACUAGGAUGCCUCUACUUGACUAGCUCGUUGAUCAAAGAUGGUUAAGUUUCCUAACCAUAGACAUGAGUUGUCAUUUGAUAAACGGGAUCACAUCAUUAGGAUAAUGAUGUGAUUGACUUGACCCAUUCCGUUAGCUUAGCACUUGAUCGUUUAGUAUGUUGCUAUUGCUUUCUUCAUGACUUAUACAUGUUCCUAUGACUAUGAGAUUAUGCAACUCCCGAAUACCGGAGGAACACUUUGUGUGCUACCAAACGUCACAACGUAACUGGGUGAUUAUAAAGGUGCUCUACAGGUGUUUCCAAUGGUACUUGUUGAGUUGGCAUAGAUCGAGAUUAGGAUUUGUCACUCCGAUUGUCGGAGAGGUAUCUCUGGGCCCUCUCGGUAAUGCACGUCACUAUAAGCCUUGCAAGCAAUGUGACUAAUGAGUUAGUUGCGGGAUGAUGCAUUACGAAACGAGUAAAGAGACUUGCCGGUAACGAGAUUGAACUAGGUAUUGAGAUACCGACGAUCGAAUCUUGGGCAAGUAACAUACCGGUGACAAAGGGAACAACAUAUGUUGUUAUGCGGUUUGACCGAUAAACAUCUUCGUAGAAUAUGUAGGAGCCAAUAUGAGCAUCCAGGUUCCGCUAUUGGUUAUUGACCGGAGACGUGUCUCGGUCAUGUCUACCUAGUUCUCGAACCCGUAGGGUCCGCACGCUUAACGUUCGGUGACGGUCGGUAAUAUGAGUUUAUAUGUUUUGAUGUACCGAAGGUAGUUCGGAGUUCCGGAUGAGAUCGGGGACAUGACAAGGAGUCUCGAAAUGGUCGAGAUGUAAAGAUCAAUAUAUUGGACGACUAUAUUCGGACAUCGGAAAGGUUCCGAGUGAUUCGGGUAUUUCUCGGAGUACCGGAGAGUUACGGGAAUUCGCCGGGGAGUAUAUGGGCCUUAUUGGGCUUUAGAGGAAUGAGAGAGGGGAGGCUGCGCGCCCCCCAAGGCUUAGUCCGAAUUGGACUAGGGGGAGGGGCGGCGCCCCCUCCUUCCUUCUCUUCUCUUUUCCCUUUCCUUCUCUCCUACUCCUACUACUUGGAAGGGCUCUUAGUUCUACUAGGAAAGGGGGAAUCCUACUCCCGGUGGGAGUACUCCCCUAGGGCGCGCCAUAGAGAGGGUCGGCCCUCCCCCUCCUCCACUCCUUUAUAUAAGGGGGAGGGGGCACCCCAUAGAUACACAAGUUGAUCAUUGAUCUCUCUUAGCCGUGUGCGGUGCCCCCCUCCACCAAUCCACCUCGGUCAUAUCGUAGCGGUGCUUAGGUGAAGCCCUGCGUCGGUAGCAUCAUUAUCACCGUCAUCACGCCGUCGUGCUGACGGAACUCUCCCUCGAAGCUCUGCUGGAUCGGAGUUCGUGGGACGCCAUCGAGCUGAACGUGUGCUGAACUCGGAGGUGUCGUGCGUUCGGUACUUGGAUCGGUCGGAUCAUGAUGUAACGCCCACGAUGCGGCUAUAUCUCCCACGUGUCGAGGCACGACUUAGAGGCAUAACCGCAUUGUGGUUUCGUCGCAAGAAGGGUCAUCUUCACACAAUCCCAUGUAAUGAACAAGAAUGGGAUAAAGAGUUGGCUUACAAUCGCCACUUCACACAAUACAUAAAUAUAAUCCAUACAUCAUCCAAAAUACACACAUAGACCGACUACGGUCAAGAUUCAAAUGAAAAUAAGAUAACCCCAAAUGCUAGAUCCCCGAUCGUCUCAACUGGGCUCCACUACUGAUCAUCAGGAAAAGACACAUAGUAACGACCACGUUCCUCGUCGAACUCCCACUUGAGAUCGACCCCAUCAUCUGCCCUGGCAUCGUCGGCACCUGCAACUGUUUUUGGUAGAAUCUGUGAGUCACGAGGACUCAGCAAUCUCACACCCGCGAGAUCAAGACUAUUUAAGCUUGUAGGAAAGGAUGGUGUAAUGAGGUGGAGUUGCAGCGGCAAUAAACAUAUAUGGUGGCUAACAUACGCAAAAGAGAGCGAGAAGAGAAGCAACGGAACGGUCGUCAUCUAGAAAUGACCAAGAAGUGAUCCUGAACUCCUACUUACGUCAUACAUAACUCAAACCGUGUUCACUUCCCGGACUCCGCCGAGAAGAGACCAUCACGGCUACACACCCGGUUGAUGUAUUUUAUCUGGGUCAAGUGACAAGUUCUCUACAACCGGACAUCAACAAAAUUCCCAUCUGCCUCAUAACCGCGGGCACGAAGAUAAUACCCUGCAGGGGUGUCCCAACUUAGCCCAUCAUAAGCUCUCACGGUCAACGAAGGAUAAACCUUCUCCCGGAAAGACCCGAUCAGUCUCGGAAUCCCGGUUUACAAGACAUUUCGACAAUGGUAAAACAAGACCAGCAAAGCCGCCCGAAUGUGCCGACAAAUCCCGAUAGGAGCUGCACAUAUCUCGUUCUCAGGGCACACCGAAUAAGCGAAGCGUACAGGUACCAACAUAACCCAAGUUGCCAAGGGACAGUCCCGCACGGUGCUCUAGUUUGGACCAGCACUCAGAGGAACACUGGCCCGGGGGUUAAAACAAAGAUGACCCUCGGGCUCGCGAAAACCCGGGGGAAAAAGGCUUAGGUCGCAAAUGGUAAAACCAAAGUUGGGCCUUGCUGGAGGAGUUUUAUUCAAGGCGAACUGUCAAGGGGGUCCCAUAAAUCACCCAACCGCGUAAGGAACGCAAACUCAAGGAACAUAAUACCGGUAUGACAGAAACUAGGGCGGCAAGAGUGGAACAAAACACCAGGCAUAAGGCCGAGCCUUCCACCCUUUACCAAAAUAUAUAGAUGCAUUAAUUAAAUAAGAGAUAUUGUGAUAUCCCAACAUAUCCAUGUUCCGACAUGGAACAAACUUCAACUUCACCUUCAACUAGCAACGCUAUAAGAAGGGCUGAGCAAAAGCGGUAACUUAGCCAAACAAUGGUUUGCUAGGAAAGGAUGGUUAGAUGCUGACAUGGCAAUAUGGGAGGCAUGAUAUAGCAAGUGGUAGGUAGCGCAGCAUGUCAAUAGAACGAACAGCUAUCAAAGCAAAGAUAGAAGUGAUUUCGAGGGGUGGUCAUCUUGCCUGCAAGGUUCUCGGAGUUGUCGAAAGCUUGAUCCUCGUAAGCAUACUCAACAGGUUCCUCGUUCACGAACUCAUCUCCCGGAUCUACCCAAGACAAGAACACAAGAAAUGGAACCACAAUCAAUCACGAGAAAUGCACAAGCAACAUAAUGCAAAACAUGUAUGAUAUGCAAGAUAUGAUAUGCGAUGCAUAUGCGUGCUCCGGAAGGAAAAUGAUGAACAAGGUAGUAACUUGGCAAACCAAGCAUGCCACUGGAAAGAUGAGAUGAUUUCGGUCGAAAUCGAUAUAAAGAUCACCGGGAACGGAUGCACGGUUUGCAAAUGGCAAGCAAAACAAGAAUGACACGAAUCUGCGAUUAACAGCAUGAUAGCACUUAAAAUGCAACAAGUAACAAUGCUACAGCACUCCAACAUAGCAACAAAGCAUACGGAAGCAAUCUACAGGAGAUGCUUGACAAAAGAUGAACACUGAGUUACGGCUAGAUCACAACAUAACAAGCUCAAACAAGCAUGGCAAAAGUGCAAAAGAUAUCAGGUUCACAGACUUAGUGAAAUUACUGGACAUGACUGAAACAACACCAGGUAGCAAUGUUCAGAGCAUGCAAUCAACAUGCUACAGGAACUUAACAUGGCAAAGCAAGGCAUGGCAGUAUUCUAAUAAUUGCAUAUGACAAAAGUUCCUUACUGACCAUAAGCCAAAAAGGACCAGAAGAUAUGAUGGCAACCAUGUAAACAUAGCAAGUUUCGUUAACAGGUUUCAGACUUGGCAGAAAAACAGAGCAUGGCAGAAACAAUAAUAUGAAGGCAUCUUGGUGAGCUUGACGCACUCAUCACAAAGCAACGCAUGACAAGAAAAGCAUACCUACAGCAAGAUGGCAUGUUUAUGAAGCUAUCCCUGGCAAGAAAAUAAGCAUAGCAUAUAUGGAUCAACUACAGCAAGCUUGGCAAUAUUGAAUAUCAUGUUAACAAUCUGCCAGAAAUAUUUUAUAGCAAAAGUAGAGCACGAUUGAGUCAUGCUACGGCACUCCAUAAUUGCAAACAAGUGCAGGAAUGGAUCAACUACAAUAAUAUCUACAAAACAUACUUACUGAACAUCUCCAAAAUAUGCAUGGAUCUCUCUGUAGCAUCAAGUUUACAUGGCAACAAAAUAACAGCAGACAAAGACUUAGAGAAAUCACUGUCCCUGAAAUCAGAAACAUUACGGAGUCUAGUUUGCAUGCUUGUGCUAGUCACCACAGAGACCAAAAAAAUACAUGGCAUACACCACCGGAAAGAUGGCAUGGCAUAAAACAAAACACAUGUAGAGGUCAUGCCCAUAACAUGCACAGAUUAAAUGAUACAAAUAUGACAAAUCUCCAAGUUCUGCUAAGAACCAGCAGAUAACAACAACUAGCACUAUUGCACCAGAGAUUUGGGCAUCAAUAUGGCCUCUAAUGAACAUGGUGCAAUGGAACAAAAUGUAGAGCAUCAUGAGACGAACAAUUCGAUAUAUUACACGCGUGAAACGGAGCUAUAUGUAGUGAGUUAUGCCAUGAUGAACAAGGGUAUAUAAUGUGAAAAUCGAAUGACUUGGAAAAUAUCUCGGGGUCUCGGGAAAAGUCAACGCACGGUAGUUACCAGAUCCGAUCGGGGCCGGCCUCGAUGGAGCUCGCCGGAGCUAGGGGCGACGGGGCGGAGGAGGAGAUGGCCGGCCGGAGGCAGAGGAGGAAGAGGCGGCGUCGGGGAAGGAGGGCGCGGCGCCGGAGGGAGCGGGGCACGGCGGUGGACGGCGGCGGCGGGCACCNNNNNNNNNNNNNNNNNNNNNNNNNNNNNNNNNNNNNNNNNNNNNNNNNNNNNNNNNNNNNNNNNNNNNNNNNNNNNNNNNNNNNNNNNNNNNNNNNNNNNNNNNNNNNNNNNNNNNNNNNNNNNNNNNNNNNNNNNNNNNNNNNNNNNNNNNNNNNNNNNNNNNNNNNNNNNNNNNNNNNNNNNNNNNNNNNNNNNNNNNNNNNNNNNNNNNNNNNNNNNNNNNNNNNNNNNNNNNNNNNNNNNNNNNNNNNNNNNNNNNNNNNNNNNNNNNNNNNNNNNNNNNNNNNNNNNNNNNNNNNNNNNNNNNNNNNNNNNNNNNNNNNNNNNNNNNNNNNNNNNNNNNNNNNNNNNNNNGGGCCCCGCGGGCCGGCGGCGGCGGAAGGCGGCGAAGGACAGGUGUCGGCGCAGGAUUCGUUGGUCGGCGAGGGCGGACGUGUCCGGCGCGGGCGGAUUUGUCCGGCGGCGCGAGGUGGAAGACGCUAGGGUUUGAUCUGCGUAUGUAUACGGGAGGGGAUGCAUAUAUAUAGCUAGAGUGGGCUAGGAGAGUCCAAAUGAGGUGCGGUUUUCGCCCACACGAUCGUGAUCGAACGACCUAGAGCACGGAAGAGAGUUUAGUGGGUUUUGGGCUGUUUAUAGAGGGUUUUUUUGCUAGAACACACAGAAGGCAUCUGCGGAUACCCGGUUAACCGUUGGAGUACCAAACGACCUUCAAAUGGAACGAAACUUGACCGGUGGACUCCCGGUGGUAUACCAAGGCCACUUGACAAGCCUCGGUCCAUUCCGAGAACGUUUGACACCCGCUCACGAAAGAAAACAAGAGGGGUGCACCGGAGGAGAUGGGAGCGCCGAAUUGCAAAACGGACAACGGGCAAAAUGCUCGGAUGCAUGAGACGAACACGUAUGCAAAUGCAAUGCACAUGAUGACAUGAUAUGAAAUGCACGACAUGAACAAAAUGCAAAACGAAAAACAAAACCCGACCACGAAGGGAAAAACAUAACACAUAGCCGGAAAUGGCAAGAGUUGGAGUUACAAGUACGGGAAGUUACAUCCGGGGUGUUACACAUGAAGACGUACAACUACAUCAACCGCGUUGUCAUAACGCUUCCGCUUUCGGUCUACGAGGGUACGUGGACACACUCUCCCCUCUCGUUGCUAUGCAUCACCAUGAUCUUGCGUGUGCGUAGGAAUUUUUUGAAAUUACUACGUUCUCCAACACUACUCACGCAUCAUCGGAGAGGCACCAAUGGAAGUGGUGAACCCCUCCGUGAUGGUGUCUAGAUUGGAUCUGGUGGUUCUGGACUCUACGGCAGCUGGAUGAAUAUUUCGUCGACGCUUCUAGGUUUUCUUGAUUUUUGGGGUAUUUAUAGAGCAAAGAGGCGGUCCGGGGGGUACCCGAGGUGGGCACAACCCACCAAGGCACGUCAGGGCCUGCUGGCGUGCCCUGGUGGGUUGUCCCCUCCUCGGGACUCUCCCCAGGUGCAACCAGGGCCCAUCUUCUUCCUUCUGUCCCAUAAAAAAUCUCCAAAAAGUUUCGGGGCAUUUGGACUCCGUUUGAUAUUGAUUUCCUGCGAUGUAAAAAACAUGCAGAAAAUAGCAACUGGCACUGGGCACUAUGUCAAUAGGUUAAUACCAAAAAAUGAUAUAAAAUGACUAUAAAAUGAUUAUAAAACAUCCAGGAUUGAUAAUAAAACAGCAUGGAACAAUCAAAAAUUAUAAAUACGUUGGAGACGUAUCAUCAUGCCCAAGCUUAACUCCUGCUCGUCCUCGAGUAGGUAAGUGAUAAAAACAGAAUUUUUGAUGUGAAGUGUUGUUCAUCAAGUCAUAUCAUAUUCUCUUCUUUAUAGUAUGGACAUUCGGACUUUUAUGUGAUUCAAAGCAAUAGUCUAGUUUUGACAUAAUAAUUUAGAUACUCAAGCAUAUCAACAAGCAACCAUGUCUUUUAAAAUAUCAAUGCUAAAACAAGUUAUCCCUAGCCCAUCAUGCUCAAACAUUGAUCCAUUCAUGAAACACACUCGAAUAUUAGCUACACCCAAUACUUAAGUACGAUCGUAUUGCCUCUUAGUUGGUGCUUUUAUAAGAGAAGAUAGAAACUCAUAUUCAAAAUAAAAAUUGCAUAAAGUAAAAGAAAGGCCCUUCGCAGAGGGAAGCAGGGAUUUGUAGAGGUGACAGAGCUCAAAGCGAAAAAUUAGAGAUAAAAACAUUUUGGGAGGUGUAUCCAUCCCACCAACGAAAACGCCAUAGAUCUACGGACACUUUCCAUGCUAGAUAUGCCAUACGCGGUUCCCAAGCAGAAAAUAAAGUUUAUUCCUUUUUCCACCAUACUUUCGCUUUCCAUGGCUAGCCGUAUCCACGGGUGCCUUCCAUACCAACACUUUCCAAGGAAUUUAUUAUUUGACAACAUAAAGUAAAUUUAUUUUUGCAUUUCGGGACUGGGAAUCCCUAAAACCUUUGCCUUACUCUCGUGCAAUGACAAGUGAAUAAACACUCAUCAUGAGAAUAACACAUCCAGCAUGGAAAAUAUUAGCCACCUGUUACCGUUCCGCGAGUGAAACAAACACACAAAAGAGAAGUUUAUUCUGAAAAUUAGAGAUGGAACAUAAAAAAUUUCUUAGAACAGAAAAAGAAUACCUCAUAUAGGUAGAUAUAGUGGACUCAUGUGGCAAAACUGGUUUAAAGGAUUUUGGAUGCAGAAGUAGAGAUCAUACUUGGUGCAAAAUGAAGGCUAGCAAAAACAUUGAGAAGCGACCAACCAAGAAACAAAUAAUUUCGUGAAGCAAGCAUUGAGCAUAAGUAACACCGAAUAAUGCACCACAAGUAGGAUAUAAUUUUCAUUGCAUGAUUAUUGAGUUUCUUGCAUGCAUAGGGAAUCACAAACCUUAACACCAAUAUUCUUACUAAAGCACAAUUACUCAUCAACAUAGCUCACAUAUCACAUCAUCAUAUCUCAAAAUUAUUACAAGGAAUCAAGUUUAUUUUGUCCAAUGAUCUUCAUGACAUUUUUUAUUUAUUCUUCUUGGAUAUCUAUCACUUUGGGAUUAAUUUUAUGUGUUGCGUUUCAUAAGCUCAAACAAAUAUAAGUGAAGAUCCUGAGCAUAACAAAUUUUCUUUCUCUCAAAAUAAUUUAAGUGAAGCAAGAGAGAAUUUCUUUAAAAUUUUACUAACUCUCAAAUCAAUCUAAGUGAAGCAAGAGAGCAUUUCUUCAAAAAUAACAAGCACACCGUGCUCAAAAAGAUAUAAGUGAAGCACUACAGCAAGUCCUAGCUCAUAAAAGAUUUAAGUGAAGCACAGAGAGCAAUUCUAACAAGUCAUGAUAUAAUUUUGGCUCUCUCAAAUAGGUGUGUCCAGCAAGGAUUGAUGACUUAAAACAUAAAAUAAAGCAAGCAAAGACACAUAUCAUACAAGACGCUCCAAGAAAAACACAUAUCAUGUGACGAAUAAAAAUAUAGUCUCGAGUAAAAUACCGAUAGUUGUUGGAAGAAAGCGGCGAUGCCACUCGGGGGCAUCCCCAAGCUUAGUUGGUUGCUCAUUCUUGGAUAAUAGAUUGGGAUGCCGGGGCAUCCCCAAGCUUAGGCUGUUACAUCCUUCCUUCAUCCAUCAUAAGAUAACCCAAAACUUGAAAACUUCAAUCACACAAAACUCAACAAAACUUUCGUGAGAUCCGUUAGUAUAAGGAAGCAAACCACUACUAUAAGUGUUGUAUCAAACUAAUUCAUAUUUUGUUUUUGUAUUAUAUCUACUUUAUUCCAACUUUUCUAUGGCAAAAACUCAUCAAGGAAAACCAUAGAGCCAUCAAAAUAAGCACACAACACAAAGAAAACAGAAUCUGUCAAAACAGAACAGUCUGUAGUAAUCUGACUUUGACGAAUACUUAUGUAACUCCAAAAAUUCUGAAAAAAUAGGACGAUCUGGGUAAUUUGUAUAUUAAUAUUCUGCAAAGAGAAUUGGCAUUUUAUCAAGUUCUGGUGAUGUUUAACAAUUGUUUUUGUGAGCAUAAAGUUUCUGUCUUUUUCAGCAAGAUCAAACAACUAUCACCCAAGAAGAUCCUAUAGGCUUUACUUGGCACAAACACUAAUUGAAACAUAAAAAACACAAUCAUACCAGUAGCAUAAUUGUGUAAACACACAAGAACAGAAAGCAAAAAGCAAAAAUAAAUUUUAUUUAUUGGGUUGCCUCCCAACAAGCGCUAUAGUUUGACGCCCUUAGCUAGGCGUAAGGCAAGGAUCUAAGUUUUGUCAUCUUUCUUCUUCUCCUCAAUCAAACACUUAGAAUCCUUCAGAGAUUUAGCAUAAAGAUCUUCAAUAAUAAUACUCCUAGGAAUAAAUUUAAAGAACUCAUUUUUGCAAAAAGGAUCUCUAAUCACUUCAGCAAAAUCCGAAUGGAUACUAAUCAUCUUAAGAUCCUCUUUACUAGAAGUUGCAUCUUUACUCCUAGUUCUACCACUCUUUAUGGGAGUUUUCUCGGUAGUUCUAGCAAAAUCCGUGCUUAGAUUAGUAAAGAUUUCUUCUAACUUAUCAAUCCAAGACGGACUUUCUUCUAUUCUUUCAUGGAUUAAGGUACCCUUCUCUUUUAACAACUUAAAAAUAUCUCCCGCUUUUGACCCAAUAUUAGUGGCAAACUUAUGCAUCUUUUUAUCUAUAAUUUCCGUAUGUUCUUCAAUGAGCAUUUUCUUUUCAAUAGCAUCUAGUCUUUCCAUAACGUGCUCAAGGGUCAAGGUUGUUCCAUUAAUCAUGAGAGGUGGUGAUCCCACUAAAUUUCCCAUAGCAUUAAAAGCAUCAAGAGAGGGACACAUCAAGAAAUUUCCACCGGUGAUUGUAUCAAGGACGAAUCUAUACCAAGUGGUAAUGCCAACAUAAAAACAACGCAGAAGCACAACGGUAGACUGCUUGUGGAUAGAUCUAUUAUGAGCAUUGCAAAUUCUAUACCAAGUAUCUUUUAAAUUUUCUCCUCCCCUUUGUUUAAAGUUGAGGACCUCGUCCUCGAGAGUGCAAGCAAUAGAGGAAGAACUAUCCAUGACGACAAACAAGAUUGCACACAAAAACAGAUCCCACAAGAAAACGGUGAACGGAAAAAGAGAGGCGAAUAAAACGGCAAAUUUUUGUGAAGUGGGGGAGAGGAAAACAAGAGGCAAAUGGCAAAUAAUGUAAAUUGCGAGGAGAUGAGAUUUGUGAUUAGGAACCUGGUUAUGUUGAAGAUCCUCCCCGACAACGGCGCCUGAAAUUUUCCUUAUGGUAGCUGGAACUACGUCGGUAUUUCCCCGGAGAGGGAGGGAUGAUUUAGCACAGCGACAGUAGGUAUUUCCCUCAUUGAUGAAACCAAGGUUAUCGAACUAGUAGGAGAACCAAGCAACACAACGUAAACAGCCCCUGCACACAAAUAACAACACCUCGCAACCCGACGAGUUAAAGGGGUUGUCAAUCCCUUUCGGGUAACGGCGCCAGAAAUUGCGUGUUGACGGGAGAAAGUUGUAAUAGAUAGAAAUAAUAGAUCACAAAUAAAUAAAAGUGCAGCAAAGUAUUUUUGUAUUUUUGGUUUAAUAGAUCUAAAAAUGCAAAGAAAAAGUAGAUCGCAAGGCAAAUAUAUGAGAAAGAAGACCCGGGGGCCGUAGGUUUCACUAGUGGCUUCUCUUGAGAAAAAUAGCAAAUAGUGGGUAAAAAAAUUACCGUUGGGCAAUUGAUAGAACUUCAAAUAAUCAUGACGAUAUCCAGGCAAUGAUCAUUACAUAGGCAUCACGUCCAAGAUUAGUAGACCGACUCCAGCUUGCAUCUACUACUAUUACUCCAACACAUCGACCGCUAGCCAGCAUGCAUCUAGUGUAUUAAGUUUAUGGAAAAACGAAGUAAUGCAAUAAGAACGAUGACAUGAUGUAGACAAGAUCCGUUUAUCUAUAUGGCAGUAGAUAUAGAUCUUGUCUUUUUAUCCUUAGUAGCAACGAUACAUACGUGUCGGUUCCCCUUCUGUCACUGGGGUCGAGCACCAUAAGAUCGAACCCACUACCGGGCACCUCUUCCCAUUGCAAGAUAAAUAGAUCAAGUUGGCCAAACAAAACCCAAUUAUCGGAGAAGAAAUAUGAGGCUAUAAGAGAUCAUGCAUAUAAGAGAUCAAAGAAACUCAAAUAACUUUCAUGGAUAUAAAAAGAUAUAACUGAUCAUAAACUCGAAGUUCAUCAGAUGCCAACAAACACAUCGCAAAAGAGUUACAUCAUAUGGAUCUCCAAGAGACCAUUGUAUUGAGAAUUCAGCGAGAGAGAGAAAGCCAUCUAGCUGCUAACUACGGACCCGAAGGUCUACAAAGAACUACUCACGCAUCAUCGGAGAGGCACCAAUGGAAGUGGUGAACCCCUUCGUGAUGGUGUCUAGAUUGGAUCUGGUGGUUCUGGACUCUGCGGCGGCUGGAUGAAUAUUUCAUCGACGCUUCUAGGGUGUCUACAUUUUUGGGUAUUUAUAGAGCAAAGAGGCGGUCCGGGGGUACCCGAGGUGGGCACAACCCACCAGGGCGCGCCAGGGCCUCCUGGCGCGCCCUGGUGGGUUGUCCCCUCCUCGGGACUCCCCCAAGGUGCAACCAGGGCCCAUCUUCUUCCUUCUGGCCCAUAAAAAAUCUCCAAAUAGUUUCAGGGCAUUUGGACUCCGUUUGAUAUUGAUUUCCUGCGAUGUAAAAAACAUGCAGAAAACAGCAACUGGCACUGGCCACUAUGUCAAUAGGUUAGUAUCAAAAAAUGAUAUAAAAUGAUUAUAAAACAUCCAAGAUUGAUAAUAAACAGCAUGGAACAAUCAAAAAUUAUAGAUACGUUGGAGACGUAUCAAGCGGUCCCACUGAGUUAGCUUGACAUCCUCUCUAUUGCCUUAUUGCUUCACUUUGGUCUAAUCGAGUUGAUGCAAUCGGUGCCACCGAGUUGAUGUUUGCCCCAAGCCCUAGCACAUCGUUCCCACCGAGAUGUUCCAGUCGGUCCCACCGUGAUUCCUAACGUUUACAUUUUGAACUAAAUCGGUCUCACCGAGUUCUUCUAUUCGGUUUGACCGAGUUGGGUCAAAUAUGUGUAACGGUUGGAAUUUGUGUGGAGGCUAUAUAUACCCCUCCACCCCCUUCUCCAUACGAGAGAGAGCCAUCAGAACGUGUCUACACUUUCACUACUCAUUUUCUGAGAGAGAACCACCCACUCAUGUGUUGAGACCAAGAUAUUUCAAUCCCACCACAAGAAUCUUGAUCUCUAGCCUUCCCCAAGUUGCUUUCCACUCAAAUCAUCUUUCCAUCAUAGCCAAAUCUAUGAGAGAGAGUUGAGUGUUGAGGAGACUAUCAUUUUAAGCACAAAAGCAAGGAGUUCAUCAUCAACACACCAUCUAUUACCUUUUGGAGAGUGGUGUCUCCUAGAUUGGUUAGGUGUCGCUUGGGAGCCUCUGACAAGAUUGUGGAGUUGAACCAAGAAGUUUGUAAGGGCAAGGAGAUCGCCUACUUUGUGAAGAUCUACCCGAGUGAGGCAAGACCUUCGUGGGCGAUGGCCAUGGUGGGAUAGAUAAUGUUGCUUCUUCGUGGACCGUUCGUGGGUGGAGCCCUCCGUGGACUCGCGCAGCCGUUACCCUUCGUGGGUUGAAGUCUCCAUCAACGUGGAUGUAUGAUAGCACCACCUAUCGGAACCACGCCAAAAAUCUCCGUGUCAUCAUUGCGUUUGCACUCUCCAAACCCUUCCCUUACCUUCAUAUGCAAUGUUUUACUUUCCGCUGCUACACACUUAGAAUUGCAUGUGUAGGUUGAUUCCUUGACUUGUACUAGUUGCUAAAAUCUGCGAACAACUAAAAUUAGGAAAAGGUAAGAUUUUUCUUUGGUCAAGUAAUCUAAUCACCCUCCCUCUAGACCUACUUGCGAUACUACAUAUAGCAACCUUAUUAUGGACGAUAGUAAACUUAAUGUGUGGACCAUUCAAGUUAAUUGAAAUACCAUGGCAAAUUCCUUGUUCCGUAUUAGAGCAAAAUUAUUUUACAUACAUGGCAUUAUUUUUCCUUUUAUACAAAACAUGACAAUUUAUAAUAAAAAUUAAAAUUGCAAUUGUUAAUAUGCAAUCUUGCCAUGGUAAUUUGGUUCAUAUUUGUAUACGGCCGCUAUAGGUUAUAGUUCAUUGUGCAUUUCAUGGCUGCAAAAUUGUGAGGAUUGGUCAUAUGGGAAUUUUUUUCCUAAAAAGCGUGCCUCAUACAUUAUGGAAAAAUAUCAAAAUAAUUUUUUUGGAAUAGGCAGACGACAAAUGUAUGAAUAUUUGAUCGUCAUAACAUAUUUACCUUUUUUUAACAUGGUAAUUUUACUUUUAUUGGCAUGACUAUUUUUUAUUUGCCAUAGAAAUUUUACUUUUAUCGCCUUGGUAUCUUUAUCUUCAUUGCCAUCAUGCCAUGGCAAAUUUACUUUAGUCACUCAUGCGAAUGUAACUUUUUAUUUUGCCUUGGAAAAUUUUAAAUAAUCGACCAUGGCAAAUUUACACAUGAACAUUUUACUUUCAUGGUUCGUGGGACCUUGGUAAAUUUACUUUAUGAAACAUGGCAAUUACUAGUAAACUCUAUAUGGUACACUUGUUUUGUGUUUGUACAUGAUGCAAUUUAAUCCACAUUUUUUGUUGUCUUCAUGUAUAGUAAAAAUACCCUGCAAUGGCAAUCCUCAUUGGGUGCCACCAUGUACAUAUGCAAAUUGCAAUGAUUCUUCUUCUAGGCCAUUUUGAAAGAAAAAAGGUUGACCAUGGCAAAAAAAAUUCUUUUUCUUUCCAUUUCGCUUUCUGACCGGAGGGACGUCCGUUGGACCGCCAGGUUUUCGGGUGAUUCCAUGUGGGACCCCGACGUCAGUCCGACGUGACAGACGCGUCCGAGCUCACCCAUAUUCAGUCCAUAUUUGAACUGGAUUUAAAGGGUGCCGGUCAGCCGACUGGAUGUUUGAGGCCUGUUUGUGGAGCCCGUCUGGAUCAAAUUUUCAUGACCGGAACGUCCAACCGAGCGUUUGAGGCAGGUUCGGGGCGUCCGGCUGUAGAUGCUCCAUGGCGGAUACGACCUGCAACUUGUACCAUACAUGCCGAAAGACCGGGCCUGGCCGAGGGGGGCGCAUUCGGUGUGUACGCUCGGAACAUAGUAUAGACAUGAACACCAGUGAUCGCCUGAUCGGCACUCUCCACCCUCUGCACCGCUAUAGGCCGAUGGGAGGACACGUGGAGGGCGAUGAGAUGACAAAGGUCUCGGAGCAUCUACAGUCGAACUUGGCAAAUCCGAUCCCUCAAACGCCCGCGGACGCGACCAGGCACGCCCGUGGGCGCAUCCGGACGGGCCCUCAUAUUUCCUUCCGGGCAUCCUAAUAUGUCUCCAAAGUAUCUAUAAUUUUUUAUUGUUCCAUGCUGUUUUAUUAUCAAUCUUGGAUGUUUUAUAAUCAUUUUAUAGUCAUUUUAUAUCAUUUUUUGGUACUAACCUAUUGACAUAGUGCCAAGUGCCAGUUGCUGUUUUUUCCAUGUUUUUUACAUCGCAGGAAAUCAAUAUCAGACGGAGUCCAAAUGCCACGAAACUUCAGGAUGAUUUUUUAUGGUCCAAAAGGUAGAAGUUGGGCCCUGGUUGCACCUAGGGGGAGUCCCGAGAAGGGGACAACCCACCAGGGCGCGCCAGGAGGCCUAGGCGUGCCCUGGUGGGUUGUGCCCACCUCGGGUGCCCCCCGGACCGCCUCUUUGCUCUAUAUACCCCACCAGAUCCAAUCUAGACACCAUCUCGGAUGGGGUUCACCACCUCCAUUGGUGCCUCUCCAAUGAUGCGUGAAUUUUUCUUUGUAGACCUUCGGGUCUGUAGUUAGUAGCUAGAUGGCUUUCUGUCUCUCGCUGAAUUCUCAAUACAAUGGUCUCUUGGAGAUUCAUAUGAUGUAACUCUUUUGCGAUGUGUUUGUUGGGAUCAGAUGAACUUCGAGUUUAUGAUCAGUUAUAUCUUUUUAUAUCCAUGAAAGUUAUUUGAGUUUUUUUGAUCUCUUAUAGCCUCGUAUUUGUUCUCCGAUAUUUGGGUUUUGUUUGGCCAACUUGAUCUAUUUAUCUUGCAAUUGGAAGAGGUGCACGGUAGUGGGUUCGAUCUUACGGUGCUUGAUCCCAGUGACAGAAAGGGAAUCGGCACGUAUGUAUCGUUGCUAUAAAAAGAUAGGAUCUAUAUCUAAUGCAAUAUAAAAACGGAUCUUGUCUACAUCAUGUCAUCGUUCUUAUUGCAUUACUCCGUUUUUCCAUGAACUUAAUACACUAGAUGCAUGCUGGAUAGUGGUCAAUGUGUGGAGUAAUACUAGGAGAUGCAGGCAGGAGUCGGUCUACUAAUCUUGGACGUGAUGCCUAUGUAAUGAUCAUUGCCUGGAUAUCGUCAUAAUUAUUUAAAGUUCUAUCAAUUGCCCAACAGUAAUUUGUUUACCCGCCGUUUGCUAUUUUUCUUGAGAGAAGCCACUAGUGAAACCUACGGCCCUGGGUCUUCUUUCUCAUAUAUUUGCUUGCGAUCUACUUUUGCUUUGCAUUUUUAUUCAGAUCUAUUAAACCAAAAAUACAAAAAUACUUUGUUGCACUUUAUUUUAUUUGGGAUCUAUUAUUUCAAUCUAUUAUAAAUUUCUGGCAUCGUUACCCGAAAGGGAUUGACAACCCCUUUAACACGUCGGGUUGCGAGGUGUUGUUAUUUGUGUACAAGUGUUGUUUAUGUUGUGUUGCUUGGUUCUCUUACUGGUUCGAUAACCUUGGUUUCUUCAUCGAGGGAAAUACCUACCUUCGCUGUGCUACAUCAUCCCUUCCUCUUUGGGGAAAUACCGACGUAGUCCUAGCAGACAGGAGCUUUUCUAGCGCUAUAGUCAGAGAGCGAUCACAUCCACAUAUCUCAAAUCCGGACUCUCAAAUCCAUGCAAAUACAUGCAUGUCAAUCAUGCAACACAAUGUCACGCGUAAAUAGCAAUUGUUGGUAUCAAGCAUAGAUACCGUUUACAUAAAAUUUAUGUGAAGUGCCAAACUCAAGCUUUGCCUCCUUGGUUGCAUUGUGGAUCCACAUGUGCUCCACAAGAUCAUUGAGUAGCUGUGUGUGCACCUGCUGAUCUCGAAGAUUCUGAUGCAUCUGUAGAAAGUUCAUAAGCUGAGCCGCAUCUUGAUCUUCCAGGAUUUCAACUUGUUCUCCGGGUGCUUCGAAAUCAUGGGUUUGGGCUAGCUACACCAUCAUCCUCAUCCUCGACAAUCAUAUUGUGCAGAAUAACACAACAUGUCAUCAGCCACCACAAAGUUUCUGAUUCCCAAAUCAUUGCAGUGAUCCGCACAAUUCCUCAACGAGCCUGAAGCACACCAAAUGCCCUCUCCACGUCCUUCCUAGCCGCUUCCUGCAUUGUUGCAAAAUGGCUAUGUUUAUUGCCACGCGGAUCGGAUAUGGUCUUCACAAACGCCGCCCAUUGAGGAUAGAUACCAUCAGCAAGAUAGUACCCCAUGUUCUAGUCUCGGCCGUUGACGGUGUAGUUGCACGGCGAUGAUUCCCUAUUGCAAAGCCUCCUGAACACCGAAGAUCGUUGAAGCACGUUGACGUCAUUGUGAGAACCGGGCAUUCCAAAGAAAGAAUGCCAAAUCCAUAAUUCAUGUGAUGCCCUCUCUUCUAGUAUGAUGGUGGCCUCUGUGGUGUGACCUUGAUACAUUCCCCACAGACCUUUGGGGCAGUUCUUCCAUUGCCAAUGCAUGCAAUCAAUUGCUCCAAUGAAACCCCCUUUCCUCUCUAAUAACCAACAACUUCUCUGUGUCCUGCGCAUUUGGUUCUCUGAGAUACUCAGCUCCAAACACCUCCACCACGGCACGGGCAAAUUUGAUAGUAGUCUGCAGGUACGUGCUCUCCUCCAUCCCGACCAUCUCACCAACGGCGUCUGUAGCACUACCAAGUGCAAGCGUCGUCAGAGCAGCCAUGCACUUCUGCUUGGCCGAGAAAGAGAGUUGGCCGCACCAAUCUCUUCUGAGCUUGAAGUAGUCGUCGUGUGCCUCCACUCCCUCCACAACGCAAAAAUAAUGGUUUCCGCAUGCAAAAACGGCGACAAAACCAUGGAUCAUCCGGGAAAGCACGUGUGGGAGCAAAGUAGUCAUUGUGCAGUAGCUUUGCUUCGGACACCUUGUCCCGGUUGAUCGUUCUUCUCCCUUUGAUUGAGCCAUUGAAGUUGAGAAUAUGCUUCACUUGCCGGUCCAUUUCCUCUUGCAUGCUCAUGAGCAUGAUCAUGUCUACUUCUUUGUCCGAAUCCGAUGAAUCAAAGAACUCAUCUUGAAUCAUUUGGUCAAGCUCCGUCGGUCCAUACUCCUCGUCUGAUGAAGUAUAGGAAUCCAUCAUUUACCUAACAAAAUCACAAUAAUUCCGGUUGGUCCAUGUGUCAAACACAUCAAGCGCAAUGCGGAGCCGGAGAGUUGCCGGACAUACCACGGCGGAGUCCGGGCCGGCGAGGACGGGAGCGCUCUUCCCAAGCUGGCAGCGGAGAGCCUGGAAACGGCUGCGGAGCGGGCGCGGCGGCGGAGCGCGAGACGGUCGACGCGGAGGAGGAAGAAGAGAGGAGAUAGCAAAUGGAUCCGGCUGGUCUUCAGGGUGGAUUUGAUGCAAUUUGGGGUGGGGUCGGGCUGUCGGGUCGGGCUGUCGGACGUGGCCGGACGACCCCAUAUCUGUCCCAUAUUUAGGCUGGAUAUGGAGGGUGCCAGUCAGCCCGGGCGUUUGAGUGCCACUUGAGGGCCCCGUCUGGAUCAAAAAAUCGUGACCGGACAGUGACCGAACGGCCCGCCCAAAUCUAUAAGGCAGGUUUGAGAGAUCCGACAGUAAAUUAUCUCAAAAAAAGGUGGCAUCACGUCGGAAAGAUCCGACCACAAAUUUAAAGCGCGCGUCCGGAUAGUAUACCGUCGGGCGAACAUCAGCGCGAGCUAGCCAGCUACUCCGGGGUAUCUUUCGCUGCGUCGGCGUCGCUUUACGUUACGCCGUCACCGGCCGCUCUUUUUUGUUGCUUCCCUGCCCUGCCCGGAAAGGGUAGCUAGUCCAACACCAGCCACAGGCUUCGUGGUUAAGCUAGCUGUGUGAUCGAUGUGCGGCUGUGGCUGCCCCGUAUGGCCUCGCGCGGUACUAUUGUCAACGUCUGUCUUUCCAUGGAUGGACUCAGCUAGGAGACGAACGGUUCAUGGAGUACGAGACUAGAGUAAACAGUAAGUAGCGCUGGCCGGAGUAAAAAAUUUAAUCAAGUUGUCGCGAAUUCGUGACGUUCCUUUUAACCUAGCUAGCUCGUGCUCUGGUCUGGUCCAUUUUAGCUAAGGCCCCAGCACCGAACGUAGGUUCUGUCCGUACUGUACCUUAAAGUGUAAGUGUGGCUUAAUUGGCCGUUAAAUUUGGGUCGUCACACCUACGUACGUACGCCCGUACCCUUGCACAACUAGUCAAGACUCAAGAAGAACCUCAGCUAUCUCANNNNNNNNNNNNNNNNNNNNNNNNNNNNNNNNNNNNNNNNNNNNNNNNNNNNNNNNNNNNNNNNNNNNNNNNNNNNNNNNNNNNNNNNNNNNNNNNNNNNNNNNNNNNNNNNNNNNNNNNNNNNNNNNNNNNNNNNNNNNNNNNNNNNNNNNNNNNNNNNNNNNNNNNNNNNNNNNNNNNNNNNNNNNNNNNNNNNNNNNNNNNNNNNNNNNNNNNNNNNNNNNNNNNNNNNNNNNNNNNNNNNNNNNNNNNNNNNNNNNNNNNNNNNNNNNNNNNNNNNNNNNNNNNNNNNNNNNNNNNNNNNNNNNNNGGGCUAACUGCAAUAGAGAACCGACCGACUAUUUUUUUCCUUUCCAGAAAAUUAGCUAUCGUUAGCGUUGGUUGUAACAGAAGGAGAGAGGAAGACAUGCACGCCCUACAUUAUGUGAUUGCAUGCAAAAGAUUAGACGCCCAAGAUUUUGGGAAGGAGGGAGUAGAAUAUUUCGACUCGAAAGUAAUACUUAACACCACCUGUCGUCGAUGUAGAGCUUGUCGCCCCGACUCUAGGUCAUCCGGCUGAUCGCAUAUCCCUCGAUCCCUUGGAGAGCUCCUUCCAAGAAUUCAACACCACCGUGCGAUAGCCCCACCGUGGGAGCCAACUGUCAUGGUUUUGUCACGGCAGAUGUCCUCGAAAAAGGACCUAGUCGUGAGGCCAUCGCAGCUAGGUAGUAGUUUGAAUGGGGUUGAUCGGAAUCGAGAGACACGGGUUUACCCAGGUUUCCCCCUCACCGUGAAGGUAAAAACCUACUUCCUGCUUGAUUGAUUAUUGAUUGAGAUCUCGAUUACAAGGGUACGACUUUGGCUAACCUAGUACUCCAGAGCUUGUAACUUAAGUUUUUCGCCUCAGGGGCUCCCCUUUAUAUCCAGGUCGAGACCCUGAGGUCACAACAGAAUCCGGGUCGUACUGCGACCCGUGUCUUAAUCUAUUUCCUACUCAUCUUGUCUCUCAAGGAAGGGAAAAUCCUUAUAACUUCCUCCUUAAGCAGACCUUCCAGACAUUGGGCCAUAAGCCGGCCUCCUCUUUCAGUCGCCUCUUGGGCCUUGAACUGCGGCCCACAUAAUGAGCCUGUUUAUGAGCCGCCAUAGGAUAACCAGGUCAUAUCCUGCCCGGGUCAUAUCAUGGGGUAUAUCCCCAACAGGGAGUGUAUGUGACAUCCCUGCUUAACAGAAAUGACGACUACUCAUAUCAACAAGGUGCACCUUCUUUUUAGGGAGCCCAUCCAAAAUAAACCUCAAAGUUGAGCAUGCUUGGCUUGGAGCAAUUUGAGGAUGGGUAGUUGAUCAUUGGUGCACAUGGGGUGAGCACAAAGUGCGCGGGAAAGACUACUGUUGGUAUGUGGGGCUAGUCUAGAUCCCAGGUGCAACGACUAGGAACCGGUGGGUUUGGUCGGUGCGUUACACCUUGCACUAGUAGAAAAAGGGUCAUCUGUCCCGGUUGGUCAGGGCCUUUUGUCCCGGUUGUUGAACCGGGACUAAAGGGUCGUUACUAAUGCCCUAGCCCUUUAGUCCCGGUUCUUACACGAACCGGGACAGAUGGGCCUCCACGUGGCCGCUGCGGCCAGUCCAGGUAGGAGGGCCUUUGGUCCCGGUUGGUGACACCAACCAGGACCAAAAGGCAUCCACGCGUCAGCAUUUCAGUGGCUGGGGUUUUUGUUUUUUUUUGAAAGGGGGGAGGGUUUAGGGGGUAAUUUAGGGUGUGUAAGCUAGCUAACAGAGAUAUAUAAUAACUUAUAUAUAAUAACUCUUCAUGCCCGCAUCAUGCAUCAUCAUAAUAACAAGUCCUACUAAUCAUCAUCAUACAACUUCUACUCGUUAUUAAUAACAAGUCAUACGAUCAUCAUCCUCAUAGUCAUUGAACCAACCCUACUUAAUUGUUCUUAGCACAUGAUCAUCAGUAUUAGGUAGGACCUAAAUGAAGGAAAUAUGCCCUAGAGGCAAUAAUAAAGUAUUAUAUAUUUCCUUGUAUCAUGAUAAAUGUUUAUUAUUCAUGCUAGAAUUGUAUUAGCCGGAAACAUAAUACAUGUGUGAAUACAUAGACAAACAAAGUGUCACUAGUAUGCCUCUACUUGACUAGCUCGUUAAUCAAAGAUGGUUAUGUUUCCUAGCCAUAGACAUGAGUUGUUAUUUGAUUAACGGGAUCACCUCAUUAGGAGAAUGACGUGAUUGACAUGACCCAUUACGUUAGCUUAGCACCCGAUCGUUUAGUAUGUUGCUAUUGCUUUCUUCAUGACUUAUACAUGUUCCUAAGACUAUGAGAUUAUGCAACUCCCGUUUACCGGAGGAACACUUUGUGUGCUACCAAACGUCACAACGUAACUGGGUGAUUAUAAAGGUGCUCUACAGGUGUCUCCAAAGGUACUUGUUGGGUUGGCGUAUUUCGAGAAUAGGAUUUGUCACUCCGAUUGUCGGAGAGGUAUCUCUGGGCCCACUCGGUAAUGCACAUCACUAUAAGCCUUGCAAGCAUUGUGACUAAUAAGUUAGUUGCGGGAUGAUGUAUUACGGAACGAGUAAAGAGACUUACCGGUAACGAGAUUGAACUAGGUAUCGAGAUACCGACGAUCGAAUCUCGGGCAAGUAACAUACCGAUGACAAAGGGAACAACGUAUGUUGUUAUGCGGUCUGACCGAUAAAGAUCUUCAUAGAAUAUGUGGGAGCCAAUAUGGGCAUCCAGGUCCCGCUAUUGGUUAUUGACCGGAGAGGUGUCUCGGUCAUGUCUACAUUGUUCUCGAACCCAAAGGGUCCGCACGCUUAAAGUUACGAUGACAGUUAUAUUAUGAGUUUAUGUGAUUUGAUGUACCGAAGGUUGUUCGGAGUCCCGGAUGUGAUCACGGACAUGACGAGGAGUCUCGAAAUGGUCGAGACGUAAAGAUUGAUAUAUUGGACGACUAUAUUCGGACACCGGAAGUGUUCCGGAGAAGUUUCGGAUUAAACCGGAGUGCCGGAGGGUUACCGGAACCCCCCGGGGAAGUAUUGGGCCUUAGUGGGCCUUGAGGGGAGAAAGAGGGCAGCAGCCAUGAGGUGGUGCGCCCCCUCCCAAGGAGUCCUGGUUGGACUAGGAGAGGGGGGGCGCAGCCCCCUUUCCCUCUCCCUCUCCCUCUCUUUCCUUCCCCCCUUCUUUUCCUAGUAGGACUAGGAAAGGGGAGUCCUACUCCUAUUAGGAGGAGGACUCCCCCCCUCUCCUUGGCGCGCCCCAUAGGCAGCCGGCCUCCCCUUGCUCCUUUAUAUACGGGGGCAGGGGGCACCUAAGAACACACUUGAUAUACGAUAUUUUAGCCGUGUGCGGUGCCCCCCUCCACCAGAUUACACCUCGAUAAUACCGUCGCGAAGCUUAGGCGAAGCCCUGCGUCGGUGGAACAUCAUCAUCGUCACCACGCCGUCGUGCUGACGAAACUCUCCCUCAACACUCGGCUGGAUCGGAGUUCGAGGGACGUCAUCGAGCUGAACGUGUGUAGAACUUCGGAGGUGCCGUACGUUCGGUACUUGAUCGGUCGGAUCGUGAAGACGUUCGACUACAUCAACCGCGUUGUGAUAACGAUUCUGCUGUCGGUCUACGAGGGUACGUGGACAACACUCUCCCCUCUCGUUGCUAUGCAUCACCAUGAUCUUGCGUGUGCGUAGGAAAAUUUUGAAAUUACUACGUUCCCCAACACUAAAUACCCUUUUUAGGGUAAAAUAGCAUAAAACAAUAUAGACCCCGACUCUCUAUUAUGGAGAAUGGAGAUCAUCCUGUCUCCAAUUUUUGCGCUUCGCUUCCUUUUGCUUCCAAGAACCUCUUUGCGACUGUCCAUACAUUUUUUCCAUUCUUUGAUUUUCAUGUCUCCACUUCUUUUAGAAAUCUGGUAUGGACAGUUGAGAUUCGUAGGAUGACCUAGUUGUAUGUUCAAAACAUCAAGGCUACCAUUCUGAUACAUCAAAUGAGGCACACAAUCCUCUGGGAUUAUCUCUUGAAAAACAUAGUAAUAACUUCAUAGUUAGCAAUGAUGUACUAGUUUUAGAAGUAUGCAAAAGAUGCACAGAUGUCGUAAUAGUAAGAAAUCUUACCAGGGUAUCUCCAUAGUAGUUACCGUAGUUCAACACGUGCACUAGUGGCCCGUACUGGCCAUAAUGUGGAGGAGUUUUACAGUAGAUAUUGUAAUUCUCAAGAUCAGUACAAAAUCCGACCAGAUGAGUUUUCUCCUUAUAAGUUAACUCAGAGCCAUCGGUGUAGUAGGUUCUGUCUACCAUGUUCCGCACAUUGUUUGAAGAAUCAAAAUAAGCUUUCAAUGAAAAUAAGUUGUCAACUAUUUGAAAUGAACAAUAUAAAUUAGCUAAUAACUAUGUUUGAGAAACUCACAUAGCGGUAGAAUUGGAGGCGUAUCAACAAGCACCCAAAUGUCCAUAUUGUCUUGCUCGAUGUCAGGAUCACCAAGAUCCAUUGUGACAAGCAUACCCUCAUCAAAACCAUACAUCUUGCAAAAUGCUUCCCAAUUUUUGCAACCAAAAUGGGUUACGCUCUCAAAAUUAUACAGAUUUACUUCAAAAUCUAUAUCAUGCUGGGUCCUUAGGUGAAUUUUCUUUGUUUUCAUACUUUCAUGGUCUUCAAAACUCAUCCUCUCCAAGACGUAGCGUCUUGCAUGGCAUGGGAUAAGCUAGUCGAAUUGUAAAAGAUGAAAAGUACACGUUGAAAUAGUUGAAGUCGUGCUUAAUUACGAAAAAAAACACUUGUCGUCGUUGCGUACCGUUUCAACAUCGAAGGUCUCCUCCAGCUUAAUACUGAAGCGCCGAUCUUCAUCCAGGUGAGGCCUGUCGCACAGACCUCGGUCGUCGUGGCACCAGUCCCACUCCCACGGGAGACUUUCAUCGUCCGAGUACGACAUUUCCUAUGUUCAUAAUUCAAAUAUUAAACGUCUACAAUUAAAUAUAUGUACUAAAAACCUAAGUUAGAUCAUUAUUAUUCAUCACGGGUUGACUAUCGGUUUGUCGAGUCUUUUCUUGAAAACUCUCAGCUCACGUGGUGUAUACAUUCGACCGUUGGUGAUGGUCGCUCCUCCUUUCAUCCCCGAGUGCAUUACACCAAAAUGUCUAGCACACGGGAAUGAAGGAGAAGCGACCCCCACGACAACAGCCGGGAUUCUUCGUCCUCUCAUAUAUAUAUAUAUAUAUAUAUAUAUAUAUAUAUAUAUAUAUGGUGGAACUCUCCCUCACUGAUUCCCCUCAAACAUUUGCGACCAUCGGUGAUGGUAGCUCCUUCCUUUCGUUCCCGAGUGCAUUACACCAAAUUUUCUAGCACACGGGAACGAAGGAGAAGCUACCCCCACGACAACAGUCGGGAUUCUUCGUCCUCUCAUAUAUGGUGGAGACUCAAUAGACUUAAAGUCAACCUGAAAUAUCGUUUAAUUAUCUUUCUAAAACCGGUUCGUGGCUGGUCUCACCUCGAGGUCGGAGGGGGUCGGUGACGGGGACGACGGCGGGGAUGAUGGAGGGGGGCUCCUAGAUUUCUGCGAAAACAAAAACCCUAUAAGCUAUCAACUAAUCAUAUGCAUACGCCUUGCAUAGUGCUCUCCAAUUUUAGCAUUCAAAGUAGGAGUAGUUUUCCAAUUUGAGCAUUCGAUAAGCAAAAUCAAAUCACAAAAUAAAGUAGUAUUCAAAUUAGGAUGCAUUCAAUUAUAAGCAAAACUACAUCAUCUCCAUGCGUCCGUACAUCGUCGAAUAUUAUCACUAAUACACCUCGAAUACUAUCAUACAUAUAGCAUUGCUAGUACAGCUAGAACCGUAGCGCCCGACGGGUAUCGGCGCGGGCGGUGGAUACCCAAAGAGAAGGAACCAUCACAGGAUCAUAGCUCCAGUGAGAUCCCUGAAGAACCUACCAGGUAUUGUCGAACCUGCACUCCAACGCAACCAUGUAGCGACGGACGUGCUCGUCCUCCUCGCUGACACGGUGACGUACCACCUCCGCGGUGUCCUGAAGCCUCGGCACCAUCACUGGCCCACGCGACUGCCACCAAAUAAGGAUCAGGUCAAUGACGGGCUGGCUCCUCACCAACCUACGCCCCCCGGAAGGUAGCACCUCCCAAAACCAGCCCGGCGGAGCCCAGUCCCGGACAUGGCCCCUCUGAUCAAGCCGGCCUCCUCCGCCGAGUCGACGACGAGGAUGCGGGAUUGGCAUCAUCGACGUCGAUGCAGGAAUAAUUGCUUUAACUAAAAAAAUAAACUAGUUCUAUUAAUUUUCUUGCUAAAAAUAAACUACUUCUAUAGUAAAAUAAACUAGUUUUAUUAAAUCAACUAGUUCAACUACUAAGCACUUACUAUAAAUAGAAUAAAGUAGUACUUACUAAAAAUAAACUAGUUUAACUAGUUCUAUUAUUUUUCUAACUAAUUCUAUUAAACACUUUCUCUUAUUAUUCUAUGAACAAAAUUACAACAGAAAAAAAUCAUAAAAAUUCUAUGAAGAAGAUAAAAAUUCUAUGAACAAAAUUACAACAGAAAAAAAUUAUAAAAAUUCUAUGAAAAAUUGACAUAUUCUUUGCAUAUAUAUGAACACACAAACAUUUGCAUAUUCAACAAUAAUAUCACAAAAAAAUCU
rnacentral:lncRNA from 1 species